AAACAAAUAGCCAAAUGAUUUGCAAGACUGAAGGAAUAAAGCCGUUGGGAUUUAAAGCAAAUAGGCUCCAAAAAUGAUUUGCACCUACGUCGCUGCUGGCUCCAAUGUAGGUCGUAUGGUUGAAUCACAUGAGUUGGUGGUCCAGCUACUGACUUGAGGUCCUCAUUAGGGUCCAAACACACCUAUUUCAUCAAUGUUCAAACAAUUAAUUUACUAAUUAGGGCGAAAGUUGUUGUUUAUUUACUAUAUUAAAUUGUAAGUCGUUUUGAUAAAUAGUUUCUUGAAGAAAAGACAGCUAAAAAAAAAAAAAAACUAAAACCCAAUGGAGUGGUGAACGACUAUGAUGGGUAAGUCGCCUAACUGUGCGCGCCAGAUGAUUAAAGGAAAGUAUCAAGAAAUAUUUUGUUUUGAUCAAAGAAUCCAAAAAUCGAUCUAAAUGGAAAUAAGUUGCAUAUGGUUUUUUUUUCCAUCUGGUUUUAUUAAUAACAUUGAAGGAUACAAGAGUCGAAUACAAAGCCGGCGGAACAUAGAAACAUCCCCGGAGACUAAACCCAAGAAGGGGAACAAGAACCCAAACAACCGGGCUGCAUACCAACAUCUGGAACUUAAACUUAAUACCUAUACUCCUUGUGAGAAACCCAAAGACAAUCUAUCAUAAAUUAAAGAACAGAGACUUAAUAGCCUAUAACCAGCCGGAAUUCUUGCAACGAACAAUACAUGUGACAAUUUGAGCAGAAACCUCAUCUGAACCUCAUAUUCACGAUGACAACAACCAACCUCUUCGACAACCUCAAGACAACAACCAGGAUGAAACAAACACCCACCAGAGCGCUUAACUCAACCGCACCAUAAGCUGGAAGCCUCCAUGUCUCCACCUCCAUGCUUCAAGCAAACAAAGCCAUGAGGAAGACAAAGACCAAAGGAAGACCAGGAGAAACACUAUUUUCAAGGCAGGAGACAGCCCCCGCUGAACCUGAGAGACAAAUAGGUGUUCUGAAAACAACCUAUUUCUCAAGGACCAUAACCACCAACUGCUGCUCACUACACACCACCACGUUACUGCUACACCGUUGCUAAAUCAAAGACCAACUAAGACCAGCUCAAAAACCAUGAUAGACAAGCAUGAUUCAACUCCUUGCCUGGAGAUACACACAGCUGAUGGAGGGACGACGGAACAGAACUGAAGAGCUCUCUCUGUUGAGACACCAAAGCUGCAACAUCAAGAGAAGUUGCAUAUGGUUUUCACUUAGAUAUGUUUCAAUUUUAUUCAGGAAACACAAAAAGGAUAAUUUUAAACCAUGAAGAAAAAAAGGUGCCCACACGCAGGAUCGAACUACGGACCUUCAGUUUACAAGACUGACGCUCUACCACUGAGCUAUACGGGCUUUGUUGGUCAUUUCAAUAAAUACCGUUUUAGUUCACAGCACAUCGAUCGAUAGGCCUGGGCAUUCGGAUCUUCGGGUCGGAUUCGGAUCGGGUCCUUUCGGGUCCGGGUCUUUCGGGUCUAAGAGUUUAGGACCCGAUAGGGUAAUUUCAAAUUUUCGGUUCCGGGUCGGUUCGGGUCGUGCCGGGUCCGGGUCGGGUCGGGUCUUAGAUAGUUAGACCCAUUCGGAUAAUUAGAAUUUAUCGGUUCGGAUUCGGUUCGGUUUCGGGUCGGGUUCGGUUCGGGUUCGAUCUAAAAAAGACCUAAAAAUACAAAAAAAUAUCUGAAAAUAUUUAUAUAUCCGAAAAUAUUCAAAAUUUUAUUCAAAAUUUGUGUUUUUAUUAUAUUAAAAUGUGUAUAUAUACUAAACUAUGCGAAAUACAACAACAAUUCGUUGUCUCCUAGUGGUUGACCCUUAUAUUCUCUAGAUAAAUAACCCGUCUUCGAUUCCCCCUUGAUGCAUUUUAUUUAAUUUACAUUAUUAAUUCGGGUACCCAUCGGGUUUCGGGUUCGGGUCGGGUCGGGUCCAAGACCCGCGGGUCCUCUACAACAAGACCCGAUAGGGUAAUUUGAUCGGGUCGGUUCCUACCCGAACCGGGUUUUUUGGAUCGGUUUCGGGUCGGGUCUUCGGGUCCGGGUAAAAUGCCCAGGCCUAUCGAUCGACAUCAAACACCGGUUGUGCGGUAUUUGAUUUAUAUGGGCCAAUACGUGAGGCCCAAUAGUUAUAUCUUCAAAACUAAGACCGUAAUAUCGCCUGGCCCGGAUCAAAUAAGCUCUGUUUGCCUUCCUUAUCCAGACAAGAUGUUACAAAGGGUAUUUAAGUAAAGUGCCUCAGACUGGAAACUUUCCGACAUUAAUGGCGGAAAGACAGAGAAUGAGAAGUUUAAAAAGAAUUUUGUUUUUUUUAAUAAUGAAAAUAAAAGACGAGAGAGAGAAGAGCGAAGCCACCUCUGAGAAGGGCUAGCGGGAUUACAUUUUCCUUCGCCCCCAGCUGCCUCUCUCGGCUCUCGUCUCAGCCCUCAAGGUGCUUCGUGUUGUUGCGAUCUCGGGGAGCUACACACUGAAUUAGGGUUGCUGCUGGGGGUACAUUUCUCUUGAUUUCUCUCGUCUCUGUGAAUUAUUCUUUCUUUUGGUUUCUAGUUUUAACUCAAAUGAGAAUUGCAUUCAGGGAAGAAGGAGAAGGAGUUGUUCAAAAAAAAAAAAAAAGGAAGAAGGAGAAGGAGAAGACAAUGGGGGUUAUGUCGAGACGGGUGUUGCCCGCCUGUGGUAACAUCUGUUUCUUCUGUUGUCCUUCCUUGAGGGUUAGGUCAAGGCAUCCUGUUAAACGCUACAAGCAAAUGCUCGCCGAUAUUUUCCCUCGUAAUCAGGUGUCUACUCUUUUAUAUCAAUUAAUCUUUGUUAAAAGUAUCAAUUUUUAUUUUAUUUUUGGUACUAGUGAAGAUCAUUUAGAUUCUUUAAGUGUAUUUUUCUUCUUCUUUACGUUUCUGUUCACUGAUUAUUUAGAGGGAUUCCAGCACUAGUCUUGUUGAAGUUUUAUACUUGUUGAUUACUAUUAACUUAGGCUGGAUAUAUUAUAUUCACUAUUGCGCAAAUAUCAUUUUUUACUUGAGAUUCUUAAUGAAUAUACAUAUGUUUCUUUAUAAGUUUCAACAUGUUGUGAUAUGGCAGGAUGCUGAGCCGAAUGAUAGAAAAAUAGGCAAGCUUUGUGAGUAUGCGUCAAGGAAUCCUUUACGAAUCCCAAAGGUGUUUUGCAUUUUUUUCCUCUCUUGUUUUAAUUUAAAAUUUAUCCUCAUGUGUAGCAGUCUUCUUCCCUUUUUUUUGACAGAUCAAUGAGUACCUUGAGCACAAAUGCUACAGAGAAUUGCGAAACGGGAAUAUCGGAUCAGUUAAAGUCGUCUUAUGCAUUUACAAGAAGUUGCUUUCAUCAUGUAAGGAGCAGAUGUAAGUUAGUAGUAUUAGCUUCUUCAUGAAUAAAACGUGGUUUCACAUAUUCUGGUUACUUAAAAGAACUAGUUUAUCAUUCUUUCUUUGUAGGCCUUUGUUUUCGUGUAGUUUGCUAACCAUUGUCCCAACUCUUUUGGAGCAAACGAAAGAUGUAGAAGUGCAGAUCUUGGGUUGCAAUACCCUUGUUGACUUUAUAACCUUACAGGUACAUUUGAGCUAUAUUUUAAGCACGGUUACAUACUUGUGAUGGUAACACAUUUGUCUAUAUAAUACAGACUGAGAAUUCACACAUGUUCAACUUAGAAGGUCUCAUCCCUAAACUUUGUCAACUUGCUCAAGAAAUGGGGGAUGAUGAAAGAUUACUCCGGUUACGGUCUGCAGCAAUGCAGGCUUUGGCAAUCAUGGUGAUUGUUUAUUAAAAUAUCCUAUAAAAAUGGAUAUGUGCAAUAUGUUACUAAUCACUAGUUAUUGCUAGGUAUCUUUCAUUGGUGAGCAUUCACAACUAUCAAUGGACUUGGAUAUGGUACGUCAUCGGUUGCUUUUUUUAACUUUUUGUCCUUCUAUUACAUCCUCUAGUUAGAUUAUGAUCCUUUUUUUUCAUCUUGAAUUAGAUCAUUUCUGUGAUUCUGGAGAAUUAUAUGGAUUUGGAGAAUGGCCAAAAAGAUACCAAUGAACUUAAUCCUGUGACUGACUAUAACUUGGAAAAAAACAUGUAAGGCUUGUCAGAACUUUAUUGUCACUUUCUUUCAAUGAAGUGCAUCAUGUUGAUUUAUUAGUUUAAUCAAUUCAGGGAGAAUUCGAAGAGCGCUUCAUACUGGUCUAUGGUUUGCCUCUGCAAUAUAGCAAAAUUAGCAAAGGAAACUACAACUGUUCGUCGUGUUCUGGAACCGCUUUUGAAUGCUUUUGACAGUGGUGAUUACUGGUCUCCACAGAAGAGCGUUGCCUCUUCUGUUUUGUUGUUUCUGCAGUCUCGUCUGGAAGAAUCAGGUGACCUGAGAUGAUAUUUAAUUUGCUGUCUUUCUGGAUUUUUAACUGACUAAUGAAGUGUUUAAAGCAGGAGGGAACUGUCAUGUGUUGGUAUCUUCUUUGAUCAAGCACUUGGAUAAUAAGAAUGUGACGAAGCAGCAAGGUAUUCAAGUUAACAUGGUUAAGGUAGCCACAUGCCUUGUGGUGCAUGCUAAGCAGGGGGCUUCAGGAGCGAUGACUGCUGUAAUAGCUGAGUUGAUUAAGCACUUGCGGAAAUGCCUGCAAAAUGCAGCUGAAUCGGAUCUGUCAGCUGAUGAAACGAAGCUGAACUCUGAGCUUCAGCUUGCAUUAGAAAAUUGCAUUGCGGAGCUCUCAAAUAAGGUUAGUUGGACUGUUUUAUCUUCUUUAGAGUGUUGUCUGUUGUUUUGAUCAGAUUAUUGUUUUGCUUUAAGGUUGGGGAUGCAGGGCCUAUUCUGGAUAUGUUGGCGGUGGUUCUUGAGACGAUAUCUACUAAUGUACUCGUUGCUAGGACCACAGCAUCAGCCAUUCUCCGUGCUGCACAUAUAGUAUCUGUGGUCCCAAAUGUUACUUACCACAAGAAAGUAAGUUAGAUUUUUUUACUUCAACUUUUGUUUUGUAAUUAUACUGUUCUAACGGAGUUGCUGUGGUCUGUCCCCAGGUGUUUCCAGAUGCCUUGUUUCACCAACUGCUCCUCGCGAUGUCACACACAGAUUGUGAAACUAGAGUUGUGGCACACAAUAUAUUCUCAGUUCUGCUUCUUGGAACUCUUCGUUUGCCUUGGUCAGACCAACAUAAGGAAACCUCAGAUGCUGUUGAGGAAUCCUUAAACAGUGAUCAGUAUAAAGAUGUAAACCACACAUCCUUGAGUAGCUUAAGGGAUGUAGAUGGUGGUAUUAAGGUAUGAAAUUUGAUAUAAAUUGGCACUUUUAUUAUUGUAUUUGAUAGUGAGCUGAAUACAGUGUGAUUUCAUGUUUUUGCAGUCUUUAUGUUCACUCAGACUCAGUAGUAAUCAAGUGAAUAUGCUCCUUUCAUCCCUAUGGAUCCAAGCAACUUCUACCGAGAAUACUCCUGCAAAUUUUGAGGCUAUGGCCAGCACUUAUAGUACCACUAUUUUGUUUUCACUAGCAAAGGUUAGUCAAAGCAUCUUAUGCUAAAUUGAAAAAGGACCUUACAGCUUUCUAUUGUAGUCUUUCAGAUUCAAAAUGUACUUAUUUUUGUAAAAUUAAAUCUGAUUUGGUGAUUGCAAAUGGCAGAGAUCAAAGCACAAGGCUCUGGUGUGGUGUUUUCAGCUAGCGUUCUCUCUUCGAAAUCUCUCAUUGAAUCAAAAUGGUCAGUUCAAGACUGUGAUUAGUGCUGUCUUUGAUAUAAUGCAUCAACUCUGACAUAUAUUUCUUGGUAUGAUUUUUAAAGGAGGUUUGCAGCUCUCUCGUAGAAGAUCAAUCUUCACGUUUGCAUCAUAUUUGCUCAUUUUUAGUGCCAAGAUCUCCAAUAUUCCAGAGCUAAUUCCCAUAGUCAAAGAAUCUUUAACUGCACAAAUGGUUAGCCUUUGUUAAAAUAUUGUUAUCUGUUUGUUUUCCUUUUUUCUAAAUCUCUUGCGUCAUGUCUUGAUUCUUGAAUAGGUUGAUCCUUGUCUUGUGUUGGAAGGAGACAUCAGACUUCGUGCUGUAUGUUCUGAAUCUGAGAAAGAUGAUAGUGCUGCUCUCAACUCGUCAGUGAUUGUCACAAAUGAUAGUCGCCUGAAGGAUAUCGUUAUCACUCAUUUUACAUCGAAGUUUCCGACAUUAUCCGAGGUACUUACCUAGUUUAAAUUGAUAAAAUGGUGCAUCCAUUCAUUUUAGUUCUAUUAUUCUUUGGUGGAAGUUGUGAUCUUACAUCCAAAUAAGCAGAAUAAAGAAACUAUGAGUUUGGUCUCUUGUCUUUUUCUGAAAAUGUUUUAUGUGUAAUGCUAUUAGGAGGAGCAAUCAAAUUUGAGAAAGGAAAUUAACUCAGAUUUUUGCCGAGAUGAUGCACACCCUCUUGUUGCACCAUUGUUCAUGGAUACAGCUGGAUCUGAUUCUCCUCUUAAUCAAAUAGAACUUCCAGCUUUUGAAGAGGUAUUAUGACUUUCAUUAGAAACUCACUUCAGGAGUCAGUUCCUUACUGCAGCUGUGUUGAUUGGUCAUUCAGGUUGAGCUUCCAUCAAUAGUAGCAUUCGAAGGAAUUUCUCCUGGGGCUAGUGGGAGUCAGUCUGGCCAGACAACAUCAAUGUCCACAAACACUAACGCAGUAGAUGUUCUGAGUGUCAACGAGUUGUUAGAAUCGGUAAAUAUACAUAGACUCAGUACAUAUUAAUAUCUAUUGGUUUCCUUUGUGAUCUUUUUCUUCAUUGAUGAUGUGUAGGUAUCAGAAACUGCUCGGCAAGUUGCAAGUCUUCCUGUUUCCUCGCUUCCUGUACCUUAUGACCAAAUGAUGAAUCAGUGUGAAGCUCUUAUGACGGGUAAGCAGCAAAAGAUGUCGGUUCUUAAAAGUUUCAAACCCGAAGCAACAAAAGCUAUAACAUUCUCUGAAGACGCUGAAGAGGAGGAAGUCUUUCUUCUCAAGGAGGUGAGAGAGAGAGAGUUUGUUCUCUGUUCUGUUGACAUUAAUUAUCCUCCCGUCAACAACUUUUUGGUAUUUAUUUUGUGUGUUGUAGACAGAAGAAGCUAAUGAAGAUGAUCAGAAGGCACUCACUGUGUCACAAGUCCAACCUCAAGGCCAGCUCGCAUCCUGCUCACACGGAGUGGAACAAGAUUCGUUUCGGUUACCUCCUUCAAGCCCCUACGAUGAGUUUUUGAAAGCAGCCGGAUGUUAAAACCAUGCAUAGAAGGUAUAUACAUAUAUAGACACACACACACACACAAGGCAUAGUAUAAUAUAAUAUGAUCAAGUGUGGUCUUCUGCUUCAUAUAUUCUUUAGUUACAUUCUUGGCUCUUUCUGGAAGCUACUAUGAUUGUGGUAGUUUAGGAUCCAGAACUAUGAUUGACCACUCAAUGUUUGUGUCUGGUUUGUUCUGAGCUUGGAUUUUGUAUGUGACAAAUGGAAUAAAUGAGUUAAUAUUAGUUUGAUGGAGAACAUUAGUUGAAGGUGCAAGUUCAACUUUACAGGAAGAUCCUUCUGAUUACUUUAUGUUUUCUUGGGCUUUUAAUUAUAGUCUCAAUCUAUAUUCCACACAUUUCCUCCAUUAUUACAUCAACAAAACAGGCUACAAAGCUCUUGAACUCUCAAGACUUAUCACACUCGAUGGUUGUUUUAUACUCCAUGAGAAUUUGAUCUUAAAGUCGGUAUAAAGAGCCAAUGAUAUAAUCAGGACCAAAAUAUAAAUCUCUCUUAGUUAGAGAGAAUCAUCAAACAAGAAAGUGUCAGAGUUAAACUCUGAAUCUAUACCCUCUCUACCCUUAAACUCGCCAAGCCCCACCGCUUUUUCAAUUGAGAAAUCAUUCAAAAAUGCAAAAUCAUCUUCCAACAUUGUCUUGCUUCUGCGGUUAAUCAGCUUUCUAGUUGUUAUUUCAGCUUUGGCUCGUUCUUCCGCAAUAAUCACUUCUUCAGCAGCUUCUAUAGGUACAACCUUUGAACAUGAUGGUUUGCUUGAUUUUCUCAACCUUGAUGGCAAACUCUUGUUCCUCUUCACACAGUUCCUGAUGGGCUCGUUCUUGAUGAUACUCUCAUUUUUCUUAUUGCUGAUUGUUCUUUUAAGCUCUGGAAUCUUCUUGGUUGUGUUUAUAACAGGACCAUUGAACACGAGCUUCUUCUUACACCCGUCUUUGAGAUCUACUUUUCUUGCCUGGAGAAGUUGUGCUCUCAUGGAUCUUGGGGAGGAGGUACCUGCAGACAUUUUGGCAUUCAGUAGCUUCUUUCUCCGCGGCGACAUUGAGAAAUGCUUCAAGAUAUCCUCUGGUGUCCAGUCAAAUCUCUGCUCAUACGGCCAGAAAAGCGGCUCAUCAACUUUAGUAACGCUCUUAGAUUCCAACACCUCUGCACUUAUUAUCUCAUGAGGCGAAGAAGGCUUCUCUGGUUCAAGUUGUGAGAAGCUGACUUUCUUCUCUGCACUCUCCUUGCUGCUCCUUGGGAUUCUACAACGGUCUUUAACCGAAGCUGCAUCUUGAUGAUUCAGAGAAUUUGCAAGUUUUGAUAACCAAGAGACUACACUAUCAUCAACCGAGAAACGAAACGCAACGGAUAGCCUCCGGUCUUCAAGAAGAGAAGUAGGAGAUGCACAAUCUGAAGAUAACCAUAUAGAAUCACUGUCAUCAAAGCUUCUCCAUUUUCCAAAGCUCUUGUUAGUCCUACCACCACCACGAUCAUCAAUCUUUUCCCGUCUUGGUAGCUGCGUUCCACCAGAUGAUGGUUUGAUCCUUGUAGCAUCUUGAAUCUUCUUUGCUGAAGUUAACUUCAUGGAUUCAUAGUUAGUAGAACCUGUUGAUUUCGACCUUGGAAGCAACUUGGGUUCAUUGUUUCCUCCUCCUGUACUUGUUGCAUUCUUUUUCUUCUUACUCAUGGAGAAAGAUGAAGCCACUCUCUUCACAAAGCCUUUGGACCCAUCUUUCACAUCGGUGAAAGCCAUUGAUGAUCCUUGAAAAAAGGAAGAGGAGAAGAGAAGUUUCAAGAAGUCACGAACACUGCUAUAGGUUGAGGAGUACAUGUUGGAGAGGAUCAUCGUUGAAGAUAAUGACACACUAACCACUAACUUGUUGGAGGAUCUGAAGGAGUCAACGAGUUGUGGCUCUAGAGAAAACACACAAGAUACAUAGUUGACCCUUGCAUUAAUCCUUCGCGCUUUAUUAGCAAAUAUUUUUCUAUACAUAUUAAUUUUGAUGUAAGUAGGUUAUUGGACAGAACGUUGUUAUCUUAUGACCUUUGUUAGUAGGUUGCGUUGACCAAUGUUAGGCUAACAUGUCAGCAUUUUGUAAAAGAGCCAAAUCUUCAAUUAUUGUAAUAACAAUAUAUUUGUGGCAAAGAGUUUUAAGGUGUUAUUCAAUAAGUGAAUUUAAAUCAAUUAUUAAUGUUUUGUAAUCUAUUAAAUUUUAAAAUUUUAAGGGGUGUCAUUCAAUUAGUAAUUUGAAAUCAAAAACUAAUCUUUUGUAAGAUAUCAAAAUUUUAAAAUUUAAGAUAUUUUAAGCGGAUGGACUCUAAAAUCUCUACAGUAUGCAUUACCAUAAAAUUUUAAAAUUGAAAGAGAAACAUAAAAACAAAAUCAGAAUUGUUUUAUUUAUAUAAGAGUAGAGAAUAUGCGAGAUUUAAGUAAAAGCGUUUAAGAUUAAAUUUUAUAUAUUUGAUUUUUUAUUGUGUGCGUGUUGCAAGUUAAAAAAAAAGUACACACCAAUCUGAACAUUAAUUAUGUCUAUAUUAUGACUUUUAUCAAAUAACUUUUUUACAACUACAGAACAAUCCGGUGUGCUUUGAAAGAGCAUGGCAAAAUCUAGUAGAGGGAUUGUAAAUUUGUAACUGAAACCCGAGAGACUUCAGUUUCCGUCUAGGUUUUUGCUGGACUCUUGGAGCUUCCUUUACCUUUCCCACCCCCAUUUGUCUUGCUAGAUUUAGUGUUUGUUGAUUUGCUGCUAGCCCCUUGCGAAUCCACAUCAGCAAGACCAUUCUCCAGAGCUUUCACCAGAUUCUCAAAGUAGGUUUUCGUUAUGCUGUUAAAUACACAACACAAGUUUUAGCCAAACCUGUCACAGGUGCCUUAACACAGAUGCACCAGAGAGGGACAGUUACCUGGUCAAACCGGUUAAUUUUGUCCGGAAAUGAUUGAAGUCAUCUGAAGGGCCUUCAGCAACUAGAAACACCUCCAGUUCCUUCUCUACGCAUUUGUGGAGCCUCUCCAAACCUGACUCAGCCUCCCCUGAUCAAAAUCAACAAGAGAAAAAUUUUAAACUUCAAGGGCUCAGCUCACACAACUAAGCUUUUCCUGAAAACAAAUCAACAAGAUGAGGAUUCAGACCUUGCAGAUACUCAAAAAAUUGUUUCUUAUCGUGAUCAGGUAGAUAGUAACCAUAUGCAUAUGUCCAUUUCAGUACCCGUCUGCAUUCAAUGAUCUGUAAAAGGUAUAUACAUUAAAGAGAUGUUGUUCACAAAUCUCAUAAUUAUUUCAAUAUUUUUAGCUGUGCUGACCUGAAGCCACGCCUCUGUGAUGCACUUGAGCUGAGAUUCUGGUGUGCCAUGUAUGUCACUAAGCUUCUCAAUCUAGCAAAACAAUGAGACAACAGCAUGUGAGAAACUGCUUUAAACAUUCUCUUACGUUCAAAACUCUUCAUAACAUGCCACAUGUAUAAGCACACCACAAAAUCAACAAUACAGUCCCUAUUUAGAUAUUUAAAUAGAGACUAGUGUUGCAAAUAAUAACAAAGGGAAUAUCAUUCUCCACUCCAAAGAAGAUUUAAGUAUCAUUCCAUAGAUAAAAGAUUAACAUGGAAACAAAAAUUGAAUAAUGACAGUAACAACAAUUCUUCUUACCUUCUCCGAUCUUGCUUUCUCCAGAUCCACCAUAGCCUUUUGCCUCGACUGCCAAUUCACACAAGAAAAGUAAAUAUAUAUUAUAUAUGAUUGGAAUACGAGAAACCUCUUAACAUACGGUAGAAAAUAAUGUCUUAGAAGCAGUGCAGCCAAGUGGUAAAUAGACUACACUACAAAAUAGUUUCUCAACCACACCCUUCACAUGGUUCACAUUUUCAAUGUCCACAAAAGCCAAGGCUCACAAACAGGAAAAAGCAAAUUGAAAAUCGAAGUUCAUGUCAAGCUCAUUAUAAUGCCAUUUCUAAGGUUCUUCCAAACAGCAAUACUAAUAGAAUGUAAAGAACACUUUAAGCUUUCAAGUGUCUUCAAGGCAUAAGAAGAUUUGUACAUACCGUUUGAUUGCUUGCCCAGCGUUCAUAAUAAUGAGUGUAUCUCUCUAGCGAAUUUUUUGCCAUCUCUCGCCUCUUUUCAGCCUCAUCAUACUAAAAAAAACAAAAUUUAAUUGAUAUCAACAAAACAAUACUAAAAAAGUUUCAAGGAGAAUACCACAUUCAAAGAAAUAGUACAAGAGGUCCCUACCCGUCCUUCUUGUUUACCCGCUUCAUACUUGUUGCAGGCAUAAAAACCACCGGUUCUUUCCCCGUGAUCUGUCCAUGCAUUAAGGCAUAGCCUAAAUAUUCAUAUGAAGAUACACAUUCAUUAGCACUUUCAUCACAAUAUCAAAUCCAAAAGAUAUCAGAGAGAAAACAAGGUUACAAUUCAACAUUGCAGAGAUAGGGAUAGAGCCUUACCAACAAAAUUCAUAUUUACAAGGUGGAGUGCAUGUCAUGUGCAUGCAUCCAUGGUUCUUUUCAAUUGGCCGCUUACACUUCGGACAAGGCUUUGAAUUGGCAAGUAUCCUGUGUAAGAGGAAUAAACAUAUUCAUGCAAAGAUGUACGGUAGAAAUAAACAAAAGAUUAAGGAAGCAUGAACAUGAAUAAUACCAGUUCAUAUUUUCCGAUUCAGCGCUGUUCUUGCGUAUCCACUGUGCAACUGUCUCGCAAUCCACAGGGCGGUGAGCCUCUUCAGUGCACUGGAAUUUUCAUAUUUAACAACAGUUCCACAGAUAAGUUAUAAUUAUUUAAAUGUAGUAAAGGGAAAGCAGAAUAGUAGUCACCAAGAACUUACAUUCCAACAAAAGCUAUGCGAGCACAAGCAGGACACAUCAUAACUACCAGUCCCAGCAGCAAAAUCAAUUGCAUGCUCACAUCCUGGGGCGGGACACCAUUUCAUCUAAAGCAGAAAAAAAAAGAGCGACAUUAAAACAAGACGAGCGCUAUAUCAUAGGCAAAUGCUAUCUUAGACUGUCUUACCUUUCUGUUGUCUUCAACAUAAGACCUAAUAAAAUAUCUAUAAUACUUCUCCUUGUCUUCCUUGGAAGCCAAUUUUUCGAACAUAUCUUGACCGACAGCAGCAGGACAAGAAGGCUCGGGACACUUUAGCAUCAAGCAUCCUGGGCCACCAUUUAUGGUUGUACUGAUAUAACCUACACAAGUGUACAGUAUAAGAGAAAAUGUAUAAGAAAAGAAAUGUUAUAGCAGAAAAAAAAAAAGAAACUUAAACAAUUAAAUUUAUAGGCAAACACCUUUGAUAAUUGAAAUGCAAACUAGAUAACAAUAAGAUAAAAUCACAAACCAGAUGCAAGCAUCCACAAGGAUUAUACGAAUAUGACUUACCAGUCCAGCAUGUACAGCAGAAAGGAUGACCACAUGCAACCGAUAGAAUUUCUUCAGGAGGAAAGGUUUCAAAGCAUAUUCCACAUGUAAGCUAAAACAUCAAAUGCGUCAGUGAAACGUUGAGUUACCAAGCAAGAAUUAUAUAGAGAAAAUAAUCAGAAAAGGAAUUACUUCUCCACUAUCAUCAGGGGUUGGAAUCACAAUCACAGGUGCAUCCAAUAUGCCAACAGUUUUACGAACCCUCUCCUCAUCCGCAAACCAUUCAUCAUGAACUUUACUAACACUCCUAAAAUGACACAGGAGGCAUGUACAUUAAUAUAUAUGUUCUCAAACAACCUAAUAGAGUCCAUUUAUAGUAAGCAAAUAUUAAAAAAAAAAUCUCUUAGAAGACAAAAAAUUCGUUUUGAAACAAUUAUUUUGAGGAACAACAAGAUGACAUAUAUAUAUAGGAAAGAGAUAGAUUGAUAACAAAAUCAUUUGGUUACAUGUCAAGGGGAUUAUACCAGUGAUAGUGAAGGAGCAAAACGCUUGCUUCAACCUCGCUUAUGGAGAGUACCAUGGAAACUUGUCCAAUAUCAUCCUUCUGAUGCCUGCGGAUAUCUUCUUCCUUGAGAACAACAUAAUUUACCUAGAAUACAGCAUCAUUACAACAAAGAUAUAACAGAUAGAAAUAGAAACCAAUCAGUCAUGCAGUAACUCCAUGGUAGAUAGCCAAUACAUAAAGAAUCUAGCAACCACUACACUUCCAUCAAGCUUUUACACAAAGACAACAAUCAACAGCUACACAUUUCCAUCAAUACCUCGAAUCUAAGACUAGACACCAACCUAAGCUCAAAACGGUAACAAGUUGCAAACUUUACUAUCAAAUGGAGUAAUCAAAUAAAGAGAUUUAAUUACCCUAAACAGAACAAAACCCAAAAACAAACUAUAAAAUGUCUUUUCUUCCUCAACACAAACCCACCUGAGAUCGAUGCGAUGCGAUCAUCACGGAGUCGUCCACGUCUUCCUCCACGAACCCGUAAUCGGGCUCACCACCCUCGCUGUAAUCAUCGGUCUCGCCGCUGUAAAAGUCAUCCUCCUCUCCAGAUUCCAUGUCGUGGGCAUUGAGCAGAUCAUCCUCGGAAUCCAUGAUCAGCGAUAAUUCUCCCUAAAGGCUUGAGCUUUAUAGGAAUCAGACCAAACCCUUUGUUUCCCUUUGUAGCUGCUCAAGCUAGGGUUUGAGGUUUCGUUAACAAAAGAAAGAAAGGUUCCUGCUUUAUAAAAUAGGAGAGAGAAUCUUGUAAAGGAAAGUUUGAUCAGAGAAAAUUUUAGGUAAGUUCUGAAUCGCGGAUAAGACUUGUACCACUCUCGGCUUGAGUCGAUUGAUUCAAGUAGUAAAAAUGUAAUCUUUUUCCUUUUAAAAUGUUAGACAUUCGUUAAUUCUUUAUAGUAUUAGUUCUGUCUUAACGUAAUCAUGUUUUUUUCUAACAUUUUUGUAAGAAAAGAACAUAGUUUCUAAUGUUUUUGGGUAUUUAUGUUUUGUCUUUUGGCAAGAAAAACUGUAAUUAAGAACUCCAUUAACGGCAACCAUAGAGUGAAUAACACAAGACAUUCCUUUGUUAUAAAGAUUAACAAAGAAAAAAAGAAACAUCUACAAUAUCUCCAGUGUAGCCAAAGACUUGCACUACAAAACCAGCUUUCUUCAUGAUGAUGCAUACUUGAUUGCAGUAUCUAUCUCUAUCGACAAACUAGGAGCCAUUUAUCUCACCUUCCAUUUUUGCACAAUCGUGGAAACAAACUAUUUCUCUGCACUCUUUUUAACUCUUGUCCAUUUAUUAGCUUGUACUUUCUUCUUUGACUGAAGUUUUUAGAUUCCCCUCUCUCCGUACAACUUUUCUCUUUGCUUGAAUAUGAUGCACAAACGCAGCUACUAUGUCGUGGAGUUUCGGUGGAGGCCUAUUCGUUGAAGACGCAUUAUAGCCAGCAUCUUUCAAAGCCUUAGCUACAUCCUUCUGCGCUUUCUGGAAAUGCGCAUUACACAAGGCGGGAAGUGUCGACGCUAGUGUUGGCUUUGGACACGUUAUUGCUUUCGACUGAGCUCUGCACAUACCAAAAUAUAACAACGAGUUAGAAUAAUAGCUGGUUUAAGUAAUCAUCACAUGCUAGUUACACUUCAAACACACAAAAUUUCAAUGUAAGAACAAAAGAUGGUCUAUUUACAGUUAGAACUUCAGGAAGAUAUAACUAUCCACAGAAUCCUAACUACAUCAAAAGACACAAAAGGAGACAACAGUCGAUUCCAUUACACUCAAAAACCAAAGCAAGUUACUUUCAGUUCCUAACCCUAUCUCUAUAGCAAAAUGGAGACAAUAGUAAAGUCCUUAUUUGGAAAUUACGGUAUCUUUGCCCAUUACACUCAAGUUACUUUCCAAUUCAGACAAAGCCAGUAUGAACCAAUUGAUGUUUCACAGCAUCACAAACCAGCAAGAGAAGUAACUGCAAAUCCUAACCACAUACAAAAGACACAAAAGGAGACAAUAGUCAAUUCCAUUACACUCAAAAACCAAAGCAAGUUACUUUCAGUUCCUAACACUAUCUCUAUAACAAAAUGGAGACAAUUCUCAAGUCCUUAAUUGGAAAUUACGGUUUCUUUUUCCAUUACACUCAGACCAAAGCAAGUUAAUUUUCAAUUCAGACAAAACCAGUAUGAACCAAUUGAUGUUUCACAGAAUCACAAACCAGCAAGAGAAGUAACUACGAAUCAAUAAAAGCAGCGAACUUGUUGUGAACUAACUUUUUACUGACGAAAGUGCAAGAAGUGUAAAGCUUCUGUUUUUUAUCCGACAAGAUAUGAAGCGGACAGUAGUUCGUGAGCGGCAUAGCCUUUGACUUGCACCCAUUACCACAAGCCACACAGUUAACGUCACCAUCGUUGUUGUCUCCGCUACCUUCAACGGCACCACCAACUUCAUCCCCAUAAACCUUACGUCUCUUGUUUUGGUGGCGAUGAUGAUUCUCUUCUUUGAAAGGACUAACACCGUACUUCCAGUAAUACUCUCUGUGUUGGGCCUUAAGAUCCUCCAUCAGGGCCCAGUAAUGGUCUCUGUAGCAUUUAGCUAGCUGCUUCAGGUUGUGCGAUCGCCGUCGGAGAAGCUCAGGUCGUGUUAGAUGAGUGGAGUGUUUGAGGAUUUGAUCCUCCGGUGACAUCGUGAUCGGUGAGAGGCUUGUGCUAGGGUUUCGAAAUUGGGAUUCUUCUGAUACAGAAGCUUUCGUGGGGAUUGAGGCAGCGAUGGUGAACGGGUGCCUUGGGGGUUUUGAAGAAGAUGGGUUUUGCUUUGAAGUAGAAGCCAUUCUCACGGCGAUGAGAGAGAGAGUCUGGAGGAGGAGGAGGAGAGAGAGAGAGGGGAUGAAUCCGCCGCCUAUUGAUAUUUCCUUAUAACACUCACGAAAAGGCCUGUCUUAUAAGCCCAUUGGGCCGUAUAGAAUAUAACCCAAUAGAUCGAAUUGAAAAUUAAGAAUUGGUUUGGUUUGGUUAAACCAGAGGCGGAGAAAUUGACAGGUCAGCUGUCGGUGGGAAGGUGCCACUUCACUUAAGUAGGGCCCAGAACACCCACCAGCCUGUCUCACCAAACGUGAUCUACACCGUUGCUUACACUCUAAUCCAACGGUUGAUAGAGACUGCUGAUCCGUCACCAGCUUUAGUUUAAUCCUUCGUCUCCUUACGCUUGAGGAAUCUCUCAAUUUCACGACAACGAAGCAAGAAAAAAAAAAACUAGUUAUUGUCCCCCGUUGAAGCUCAUCGGUCUCUCUAGAUCUAGCUUAUCGGCAUUACAAGUAAGCGCUAUUACUCUUAAGUACUUUGUGUAAUUAUAAUCACAGCUAAUCUUGACUCUGUGUAGCUGAUUCAUUAUUGGUUUCGUGAUUCUGAUAAAAUCUCUGAUCAACAUUCACAUUUUGAAUUCUUCACAAGCUCUACACUUGAGAUUCUAAUCUUGUGCAUCAUCCUUUUCCAAUUUUGUAUUAUAUCUGUUAAUUUAUCUUAUCCAAGUUGCUGAUUAAAUUCUACAUUUGCUGAUUGUAAUAUUUUCGAGGUUUAAUUCGAUUUAAUGUGUUUGGUUUUAGCAAGUUCUCAUACUUAUUGUUCAGCCUAUGGUUAGAGUUUAAAAUGUGUUAUCUACUGGUGAAUAAGACGUUGAAGUUCAUUUCUUUAUAGCAUGUUCAUGAGUAACACUUGCUUGCUAGGAAGAAUAGAAAAAAAAAGUUUCUAUUUUUAAGACAAUUCAAACAAAAAGCCUGUCGAAUUCUUUUUUUAUAUGAUCUUGUAGCUGAAACUUGCUCAUAUAUAUUUUUUAUAUAUGGUCAGAAUUUAAUAUGUGUUCAGGAGUAAUAUUUGCUUGUUAGGAAGAAUGAAAUUAAAAGUAUUUAAAUUUUAUCAGACGAUUCAAACAAGAAACUAGUCUAAUUAUCUUUUUGUAUGAUCUUGUAGCUGAUACUUUGCUCCAUAGUUGUAAAGCUAUGGUGACGAUCCGUAGCGCGUCAGUCUUUAUUCUAGUCCUUCUGGCUGUAUCAACCCUGGCUUUGGUUGCCAAUGGGGAAGACAAAACGAUUAAAGUGAAGAAAGUGAAGGGGAAGAAGGUGUGCACGCAAGGAUGGGAAUGUGUCUGGUGGUCUGAGUACUGCUGUAACGAGACGAUCUCGGAUUACUUUCAGGUGUAUCAGUUUGAGCAGCUCUUUGCCAAAAGAAACACUCCUGUUGCUCAUGCUGUUGGGUUCUGGGACUACCAGUCUUUCAUCACCGCUGCUGCUCUCUACGAGCCUCUUGGGUUUGGUACCACUGGUGGAAAGCUCAUGGGACAGAAAGAAAUGGCUGCGUUCCUUGGUCAUGUCGCCAGCAAAACGUCCUGUGAGUUUUCUUCCAUACUCUUAAUGCCUUGAUUACAGUCAAUGUUUUGAAAACCGGACCGGCGGUCAAUGUAGCUGAGUCAAUGGACCGGUUCAACCGGGUUUUACAUUUUAAAGUAUAACUAUAAAAUUAUUUUUAAGAAAACUUUAUAUCAUGGUUAAAAUCUAAAAAUCAUAAUAUAAAACUAUAAUGAAAACUAAUAUAUUUAGAUAUAUAUUAAAAACAAUAUGAAUUUUUAUGAAUUUUUUUUAAAUUGCAUUUUUAGUUUUUAAACUUGAAUUCGAGAAAAUCGGGUUUUAAUAUUGAAUCGGUUCACCGGUUUUAGCGAGUUUUGCCGGUCAAAAACCGGAUUUUCCGGUUUAACUCAAAUCCGGUUUUUAACACAACCAAGACAUAGACUUUGUGGUUUCUAUGUUAUAAGCAGCUUUUAACAAGCAUGAGUUGUUACUGUGUUGUCUUAUAUAGGUGGCUACGGAGUGGCAACAGGAGGGCCUUUAGCUUGGGGUCUGUGCUACAACAGGGAGAUGAGCCCAAGCCAAUCUUACUGUGACGAGACCUGGAAGUUCAAGUACCCUUGCAGCCCUGGAGCUGAAUACUACGGACGUGGCGCCUUACCCAUUUACUGGUAAUGCAUUUCUCCUCUCUAUAUCAAACUCACAUUCUUAUGUGUACUCAAAAGAAUGUCACUUGUGUGUGUACAAAGGAACUUCAACUACGGUGCAGCUGGUGAAGCCCUCAAGGCUGAUCUCUUGAACCACCCCGAGUACAUCGAGCAGAACGCCACGCUUGCCUUCCAAGCUGCAAUCUGGAGAUGGAUGACACCGAUCAAGAAGGCUCAGCCUUCAGCUCACGAUAUCUUUGUCGGAAACUGGAAACCGACGAAGAACGAUACGUUGUCCAAACGUGGCCCCACUUUUGGUACCACCAUGAACGUCUUGUAUGGAGAGUACACGUGUGGUCAAGGUGAUAUUGAGCCGAUGAACAACAUUGUCUCGCACUACCUGUACUUCCUUGAUCUUUUGGGUAUUGGAAGAGAAGACGCGGGGCCUAACGAGGAGCUCAGUUGCGCUGAGCAGAAGGCAUUUAACCCUUCAACUGCACCUACCUCCUCUUCCUCGUAAGUCUCCAACACUACUCAUACUUCCUCCUAUUGCCGUUGUUCUCAAGUCACUCUUGCUUUAACUCGACAAGUGUUAUGUAAUAAGUGAAAUUGCUUGUGUGUGCUUUUUUGUCUGUAGAACUUAUGCAAACGAAAUUUUAUAUUUUUCAUGUAUGUAAUAACCAUAUUCAAUUAUGAUAUUUGCCGAAUGUGUGUAAAAAUAGAGAAAGCAAGGAGACAUUAAUGUGUGUUGCGAAUGAUGUUUCUAUUCGUUUGUUAUAUAAAGUUUGGUUUCUAAUGGAGUCUCCUGUGUUCUUGGUGGAGGAUGAGAUCAUCUCACCACAAACAGCUUAUAGCUUUUAUAGUAGAGACAACUUAAUAGCUGCUCUUUUGUACAUAGAUUCAACAUAUUGCUAAAAGCUCAAUUGGUAAAAAAGGUGGUCUGAACAAAGAGAUUUAUUCUUAUUGAUUUUAAAUAUUUUAUUGAUGAUUCACUCGCACUGAAAAGACCAAGAAAGAGGACUCAGAGCAAACUGGUUUGAGCUAGAGUAGUUGAAAGAGAGAGUCUCCAUUGGACUCAACGGUAAACCGUCGUUAACCACGCAGUUCCCGGCGGAAGAGGAGAGGACACGGAGGAGCGUAGGGUCCACAAGAGACUGAGGGAAGCCUUGACAUUUCAGACGGAGGUUGAUGAUAGGACACAUUGGACAUUUGUUCAUCACCUCAACUCUGAACUUCUUUCCUUCUCCCAACUUCACCUGCGUCUGUCUCACCGUUGGUUCGCUGCUUUUGCUGUCACACUUUUCUCCAAAACCUACACACACAUACAUCCACCAUUCACAUGUGUCUGUAUAUAUAUGGUUACAAUCCAAGAAGUUAUGAAGUUACCUGUUUGAAGAAGCAAGAGAGCAAGAGAUGACCAAAGAAGGAACUUGAGAGAGAUUGACAUUUGGACACAAGUAGAGACAUAAGAACUACAGAACUAUUGAGUAUAAAUACACACAGUGUGUAUGUGUAUGAAAUGUGAAGGAAUGAGUCAAGAGAUACGUCCAAUAAUGGUCACAUGCACAGAGAACCAAAUAAAGGUGGGAAAUAAAAGUUAGCACAAUACCAAAGGACUUCUUUCUUCACGUGUUGUGUGUCAGACUCAAGAAAACUAUUCACCCUUUAUGUCUGACUCAAAUCUUAAUUCCUUGUCUAUAUAAUCUUUGAAAGCUCUUUUAUAUCAUCAUCAUCAUUCGCUUAAAUAUAAAAAGUCCAUCAUCAUCAUCAUUCAACAAAUAAUUCAUAUUUUUCUUUUUUUACAUGUUUUUUUGGAGUUUGACGCUAAAUCAAUAAAAUGUUCAGAAGAGUUCAAGAAAUGCAAGCUUGAUUAUAACUUUAUAUCUGGAUCCAUGACAAAUGGUAUGAAAGUAGAGCACAAUGGGUGGAAAAGACAGUAACGAGUUUCGAAUUACAAAACAAGAAGACAGUGUCUUAGACAUGCAUCAGGAUGAUGCAAACGGUCAAACCAGAUUACAACAUACACAAUAAUGAUACAUGAAACAGAGGAAACUCUACAUUUCACUAUUUAUUCACCAAGGUGGCAUGCCCUUAAUUUAAGUAGUAAAAACAAUCUCAAAUAACGUACGAGUCUUCUAAGGUACUUAGUUACUAAACAAUCUCUAAAACCCUUUCUUGUGAGUGAGUUCAUGAUCUCGUAGUAGAAGACGGAGAAGUUCAACGCCAAAGCCAAUCUGAUAGGAUGUGUAGGAGGAAGUUUAACCUCAGCAGCAGUAGUGACAAUCUGUAAAGGAAAAAACUGAUAAUAAGUAAAGCGACAAAACAGAGAAUAAAGAACCAAGCAAAUCUUCAGAAACAUGUAACUAAUCUUUAAGUGAGCAUUGUUAUAGCUUACAUAUUGUUGAAGAAGAUGGUUGAUUGAUCCUCGGAAGUAGAGGGAAUGAGAGAUGCUCAUCCAACACAGACUAUCAACACGUAUGUUUGAGUGCUCUAGCUCAACCUUGUCCAUAUAUAUAUAAGCUUUGAUUUGUCUCUUAUCCAAUAAAAGCAACAAACAUAAGAAGAAAGUCAAAACAAGCAAAAUAAUCAAAGGAAACAAAACAGAAAAGCACGUAAGAAAGAAUCUAAGGAAACAAAAACAUAAAAGCAAGUAAGAAACACAAAACAAGAAAGCAAAUGUGAUGUUGAUUUUAGAAAAAAAAAACAAGAGGGAAAAUUGCUUCAUUAUGAGAUUGAUUACGAAGAACUAAAUGAUCAUAAGUGUCAAAGACAAAAAGAAAUAAACAAUCACUAACUUUAAUUGACCGAAAGAAAUACAUAAUUUCUAACUAUCAAUGACUGGAUGUAACUUCUAAUUCUUUUCACAAAUUACACAUUAAGUUUUCAUUAUCAAUCGAAUAAUAUAGAAAUUUUCCCCCAAGUUUGAAAAUCUCUUUUUUUAUAAAACAUUUUAGUGAAAACAAUUUUACAAAUCAGUUUAUGUUAAUUUAAAAAAAUUCAAGAAAAGAGGAGCGUACGUACCCGUGUAGACGUACUGGUGUAGACUUUGUCCAUAGGAGCUUUGAUCAUCUUUGCAUUAUUAACAUCAUUCGCCUUCCCACUAGCAGAUUUGUCUCUUAGCCAAUAAAAGAAACAAACACAAGAAGAAAGUUAAAACAAGUAAGAAACACAAAACAAGAAAGCAAAUGUGAUGUUGUUGAUUUUAGAAAGAGAAAAACAACAAGAGGGAAAAUUGCUUUAUUAAGAGAUUGAUUAUGAAGAACUAAAUGAUCAUAAGUGUCAAGACAAAAGAAAUAUACAAUCGCUAACUGGAUGUUAGAAAUAUACAAUCUCUAACUAUCACUGACCGGAUGUUACUUCUAAUACUUUUCACAAAUUACACAUUAAGUUUUCUUGAUCAACCAAAUAAUAUAGAAAUUUUCCCUCAAGUUUGAAAGUUUUUUUUAAAAAACAUUGUAGUGAAAACAGCUUUAGAAAUCAGGUUAUAGUAAUUUUAAAAAGAUCAAGAAAAGAGGAGCUUACCCGUCCGUGUAGACUCUGUUUCCAUGGGAAUAGUCUCUUUUUCAAGCAACUCUUUAAUCCGGACAGAGUUAGUCUUCACUGCUGUGUGUUGUGAGCCUUACUAACUCUUCUUUAAAAACUGACGCACUCCAUCUAAGAAGAAGAAAGAGAAAAAUAAUCUGGAGAAAUAAUCUGAAGAAGAAGAAAGAGAAAAAGGAAAUAAUUGAUUUGUGGUGCGCUAUGAUAAUGAAUAUAAAUAGACCCCAAUUUCCUUUAUUGCAACACUCCCAAUGUUCUUUAUACCGUUGCUUCCCAGUUCCCAUAAUCCAAUAAAUAUUAGCCGUUGGACAAAAAUAAAAAUGAUUUAUUAUUAGAUCAAAAUGAUUUAUUAUAUUUACCUGCUGUGUUGACAAAAAAAAAAUAUUUACCCACUGUAAAAGUGUUGAAACACCUCACGGUUCACUCUAUGAUGUUACUAAAGUCUGAUGUUACUUAAGUCUAAAGCUUCUCAUCAAAAUCUUUUUAAAAAAUCCCAUUUUAAAAAGCCUAUGAUGUUACUAAAGUCUAAAAAUAUUGGAGUAGAAAAAAAUGAACCGUUGCUUCCCACAGUCCAAUAAAUACUAGCCGUUGGACUUAAAUAAAUAUUUUUAUUUUUAUUGAAUUUUCUUUUAGAGGACUAAAAUAAUUUAUUAUAUUUACCCACUGAAAAAAAUGUUGAAACACCUCACGGUGAAAACAUAUUUCACUCUAUCCUACUUGUAUUAAGUUUCUCUUUAAAAUCUAAAAAACAAUCCCAUUUUAAAAAGCUUAUGAUGUUACUAAUGUCUAAAAAUAUUGGAGUAGAAAAGUUCUUCGCAUUAAAACCUUAGUUAUCGUUUUGUUAAAGUCUUGUUGUUCACUAGUUCAUUAUAUCAGUGAUAAAAUAAAUUAAAUUUUAGAUACAGAACUUUGGUGAAAAUAUGUAUACUUAUACAAUUACAUUUAUACGAGUGGGGGCUCAACUAGUGUGUACAUGUAAGGGUCAAAUCCCAUGUGUUACAUUUAUGAGCAAAAGAAAAAAAAUGUCAGAAUCAUGUUGAUUUUUUAUGUAGGAGAGCAAGUUAUGCUCCUGGAGAUGGAUUUACAUCUGAAGCUGAAGGCUCCUGAGUCCCGUAGUUCCACAAGUCUCUGAGUUCUUUCCUCACCAACCCUAGUAUAACCGUUAUACCUGCAAAGUGUUCAGCAUUUAGUUGGUUAAUCAAAUGCAUAGUAGAUUCAUUAAAAAUGACUCGAGAGAUACCGAGAGUGCAUGGCACUAGAUAGAGCAAUGCAGGUUGACCGUGUCCGUUCAUAAGAUAUAGUCCCAAGUAUGUUAAGAAUAGUCCAAGUCCGUAACCAAACAUCAACCAUGGGAAGUAGCCUUUCACUACUCCUUUGUUGUUUUCCCUGUCAUAUCUGAGAGAGAGACAUAUUAUUGAGUUUUGACCCCAAAAAAAAAAAAAGACAUAUUAUUGAGAUGGUGCACAUUGAAUAAGGACAGUGUUUGAAACAGUAUAAUAAGUCGAUGCAUGAGAGGGUUACCUGAAGAUAAAGCAUAUGAGAAGACCCGGGAAUAGAAUGUCUCCAAAACCGAUCAUGUUGUAACCACCCCAUGGAUCAGAAAGCCUUGGAAAUCUCAGUAGCAUGGGAAUAGAUUCUCCUGUGUCUUUGCUCCCACGUGCAACCUAUAUGUCAUAGAUUAAUAACUAUUAAGGUUAUGAGACAGGCAUUGGUCAAAUGAAGGAAAAAUAUCGAAACUCACUGCAAUCAUCACACUUUGCUUGAAGAUUAGUGGUGACAGGAACACCCAAAAGAUGUCAUAGAAAAAUGCACAACAUAGAAGAAUGGUUGCAACCUAAAGCGUGACAUACAAAGAGAUCAUAAAUGAAAUAUAAACAUAAAAUACUUACAAAAAUAUAUAUAAAAACAUAACACUCACCCUGAUAUUAGGUAGCCGAGCCACUUGCAAGACAUUUAUCAUCAAGCAAAUACCCUGUAUUUAACAGAGCCAAACAUUAAGAUAUUAAUUAUUCAACAACUAUAGAGUUAGGAGUAUUAAUAAGGACUUACGAAAAUAUCUUGGCCGGCCCAUGCAUACGAUGUUUUGCGGUUUAUGAACCAGACGACAGCAACCACAAAGCAGAACAACAGAACCAUGAGUGAGAGAAUCGUUACAUUCCCAAACAAAGGGACUUUCACAGUCUUCCGACCACAUUUAUUGCAUCUCCUGCAAUAAGAGAAAGCAAACACAUGAUGGUUUUAACUAUUUUGGAACAGAGAGAUGUUUCAUGUGUUGAAAAGUUUAGGAUUCUGAGUAUUACAUUGUUAUGAGGGUAUAGAUAAUAUUAUGCAUUCCCUGAGAUACAAAAAUAUAUAUAUUAGUAACUAUGAUGUUAAUUAAGGUUAAUAUAAGAUCAAGAUAGGACAACGUUACCUGCAUACCACCAAUGCAGAAAAAGACGGUGAGGAUCAAGAUGAACCAUGAUGACAUAAAGAAGAAGAGCAACACAAGGAACGUGGACGCUGAUAUGACAAAGAUAACAGCACCAGUAGCACUAAUAUCAAGUGUUUCAUCGUCAUCUUUUGUAGCAUCUUUGGUAGCACCAUCAACUGAAGACUUCUACCAAGAAAGAUUCAGAUGUUAGGGAAAAUAAACACAUAUUAUAUUGUAUUUAAUUAUUUAUCUUGUUGACAGUUUCUUGUUGAUAAUAUGUAUAUUUUAUUAUUUCAUCUUGGCGAUGAAGUUUAAUAUGUGAAAAAAGAAGUUUAAUAUUAGUAGAGCUCCUAAAUAAAGUCUGGUAAAAGGCACCUUUGGUGAUAAUUCAUUGUACUCAUCAUCGUUCUCCUUAGGACCGGUGCAAUGUGACCAAACAGAAGCAAUGAAAACUGUUCCAACAGACAUAAGCCAGAGGAAUGCCACUGCAUAAUCCACAACUGGGCUUUUUGGAGCAUACAAUAAUAGCUCCACUGCCCCAAAAAAAGACCCAUUAAGUAGCCAUCAAAAGAAUGGUACAAAGAAACAGAUAGACUAUCAUUAAAAAUGAUAGAAUAAGAACAUACCUUUCUUAUUUGCCAUAAGGGAUUUCUUCAAGGCAUCUCCAGAUGAUGUAGUAAUCAUCAAAACAGGUAUAGUAAGACUUAAAGGAGUUUCUCCCUCAGUACAAGCCAUCUCAUCCAGCUCUGAACAAAAAAAAAUGCAAAGAUAAGAGAAACAAAGAGAUGUCAGAGGCUCAUGAAAACAAAAGCAAGAAGGUUUAGGUUAUGAGUCCUAACCUUCUUUGUCGUUUAUUAAAACCAAAGCUGCAGCUCCUCCUGCCUGUGCAACCUGAGCCUUAGCUGUGAAAGUACAUUCCCCACGUACAGAUAACGCAAUAGAACCAGAUAGCUGCAAGAAUUAAAAACAAACAUCAUAACAAAUAAAACAAAAACAUGAUGGUGAUUAUGAUGGAGAAGAAAGAGGGACAACAAAAAAACCUUUGAGGUUAAAUUGGAGCAACUGUUCAAAGGAGUUGUAAGAACAACAGGAAGUCUAACAGCUUUGUCUUUAUCAGACGGAAGCACGGCACCAAACUGAGCAGUCAUGCCACUAAAAUCUUCACCAUUUUCUCCGUUCACCCAAUGCUCAACCUUGACCUGGACAAUAUCUUUUUUAUAUUAAUAAAGAUUCUUAAUGAUAAACAUGAAUCUAUAGGGAAAAAUUCUAAUGAGGCAUUCGACAUUUACCAUUUGAUAUUCGUUGGAACAGCCAGGAAUCUUGGGAGCCGCGGCAUCUUUAGAAGGAGCUUCACCAGCACCAAGGCAUAGCAGACCGGUUAGAUAGAGGGCCACGGCUGCCGCGAGAAUGCGGCAGCUAAACGGAGGCAACGACAUCGCCACCCUAAGAGAGGGAUAGAGAAGGGGAAUGUUAGGAUGAUGGAAGAAAGAAAAAGAAGGGAGCGAGAAGAGGGAAAUAGAUUAUUCUCGGUUCACCUUCCCUGUUACACAAGUCAUUUUUUUUUCCCUUUUUAAUCUUUUCUAUUUCGAUUUUCUUUUUUUCCCUCGCUUUACAUUAUUUCCAAAUAAUGAAAGAAAAGAAAACUCGAAAAAAAAAACAGUUAGAGUUAGUUUCCAUCGUUAAUUUGACGAUGAUCUAAAAUAGAUAAAUAUUAUUUACAAACAAACGAAGUAGAAUGAAUGGAUAAUUUUAAACAUUUGCCAAAACUAUAUAUGAAAGGAGAAAGAGACAAAUCAAUUAGACUUCAUGAGACGAUAACCGAAAAUUUAUAAAAAAUGGAAAAAAUUAAUUUUGAAUGAGUAUAUGCAUUUGUGAACGGGUAUAUCGGAAUUUUAAGAUAUUAGCAUUAAUUCUAUAAUGAAGUUAGCAAUAGUUGGACAGCAACCGGAACAACACAUCAUCACAAGGUCAGUAACUGUGAUUAGUGGCAUUGAGAUGAAAGAAAUGUAGACUCUAAUAGAUUAGAAAUAAGAUUGAAGUUGAACCAUCUCCUUUUAUAACACCCUGCGAGUUUAUGUGAGUUUUAUUACGCAAUGCGAGACAGGAAUUUUAUAUGUUUGGGAGCAGACCCGUCUCUAGGCAGUGUAGUUUUAUGUGAAUUUUUUUUUUUUUUUAAAUAUAAACCGAUAUACCCGUAGAAAUCGGUAUAAAUGAGUCAAAUUUUUACAUAUUAUGAUCCCCUAAAUUAGUGGUACAUAUUACAUAUAUACUUUCCAUAAAUCACUGGUAAUAUCACUGGAAUAAGUAAAAAAAUCUACUUGCAUUUUUGCAUUUAAUUCACCCAUUGAUGUAGCAGAAGAAUAUAUGGAAAUAAAAAUUAAAGACAAAAAAUAACUUUUUUGACAUUAAUGACGAAAUCGGUAAUUAAUAGGAGGCUUUACGUUUGGUUAAGUAAAACUCAUUUUGCUCCUUCCCAAGCCAAAAGAAAUCAUCGAGAGGUAUGGAGAACCAAAAGACGACUUUCAAGUUUGAGUUAUUAGAUAACUUGUCAGAGAAGCAAGAUGUGAUACGUUCUCCUAAAUUCGCAAGCAGCAGCGGAUCUCAAGGUUAAACUCGACAAGGAGAGAGCUGAAUCUGCUGUAUCUAAAGUUGUUGUGCGGUUGAAAAAUGCUUUUUGCUUUUCUCAUACUAAGAUUGGAGGGUGUCAUGAGAGGACAGAUGAUUACCAGUUGUUGCUGCCUUCAUGAAACCUGAGAAGGAGCUUCACCAGCCUCAAGACAUAGCAGACCGCUGCGUGAAUUCGGCAGGUAACCGGAGGCAACGACAUCGCCACCCUAAGAGAGGGAUAGAGAAGAGGGAAAUAGAUUAUUCUCCUUUCACUUUUCUUGUUACACAAGUCAUCUUUUCCCUUUUUUAAUCUUUUCUAUUUCGAUUUCUUUUUUUUCCCUUGCUAACAAUGAAGAAAAACUCACAAGUUAGCUUGUUCUCUCACUGCAUUCACACUUGCAAUUCUCUUGUUCUUUCUUUUUUUAAGACUAUAAAAGGCUUUAACUAUUGUUUGAAUAUAAAAUGACAAUAGUUCAUUCAAUAAUGUUGCUGUUUGAUGUUUAAAUAGAAACAUAUAUGCACAUUGUGUCAUCUUUCAUGUCUCUCUGUCAUACUACUAUAUCAGGUUCACUUGUCAGAUCGCUGAAGAGAUUCCGUGACUCUAGAACCUUGUGCAUCGCAUGUCUACACCUGGAAGUAAAAAAAAGAACUAAGCCUCAAAGAGUGUUUCAUUAUAAGAAGGGAACCGAAGUUUUGGAUUAGAGUAAAGAGUUGCUACCUCCAAGGAAGAUGAUCAAGGAACAUUGAUGGAGAAACCAUAAGCUCUUUGAACCUCUCUCUUUUUGCAACAUACGCUUUGUAACCACCACUUGUCACGUCACAGAUCGGCCAUCCUCGCCAUAUCGGCACGCUCAUGUUGUUUACUUCCGGUACAAUAUGGAUGACCAAACCCGGCAAGAACAUCUCCGGAGCUUCUUCAUCAUAAUCUUCUCCUCCUCUUGUUGGCACUGUCUCCAUAAACUGAGUCACAGGAUUAUCCGUUGAGGCCACCAGCUCGUGGAACGGAUUAAUGAACUCUUCGUCGUGUUGCCUCACUUCCACUUCAGCUGAAUCUUCAACUUAUUAAGACAAGAAGAAGCGUUAUCACUUCUCAUUAGCUAACCUUUCUUGAUGGAGAAGUUAUCAUCAAGAGUGAGAUAAAAAGUUGUUACCAGUUAUUAUUGAUGAUGGUAUUGCUUCUUCUCCUUCAACAACAUUUUGUCGUUGGCGUUUGCUAGCAGACAAGAACCGGCGCGCGAGUCUGAAAAUGAGUGCUGUAUCAGCCUUAGGGUCUUGAGACAGCACUUUGAGCGCAGCUACUUGGAGCCGGCGGAUUGAUCCAUAAGAGAGCCGCGAUGAGAACUCGUUAUCUAGUACAAUGCUGGUUAGGGACUAUAAAACAUUAGUGACUUAAAUAAUGUCAGCGUAUGAUUCGUUACAAAAACAAAUCUAACCUUGUAACAAACUCAGAACAAGCUUCUGCCACAUCUGAAUCUACACAUGGGAGUGGUCCGUAUGCGUAUACAUAGAGGUUAGGGAACCUGCAACGAAGCUAUAUAACAAAAAGAAAAUGAAUAAAAGAUAAGUAAAGGAGAGAUAGAUGUAAUCUUUUUGUGAAAUUGAGAACAUACUCUAACUCCUAGUAACGAGGCAAUAGCACCUCCUAAGGAAUGUCCAACGAUGCGGAUGCUGUAGCCAUCACACUCGCAUCCAUCACCAAUUAACGAAGACAAGAACCCAAUAGAUUCUGAUUCUGCACACUCCAUUUUGUAUAAUUAGCUUAGAGAAGCCUUAAGUUGUGACAAUUUAUUCUGAACUCUUACCUCCAAAUUUGGGAUCGCCUUCUAUUUGCAUAAAUAGAUCUCUAGCAGCUUCUACUAUUCCUGAAUGUCCGUAGUGUGUUCGUGAAGAGUCCAUAACAUGAAUGUUACUGACAUAAACACACACAUGAAAAUAUUUAUUUUUUAUUUCACUGUUUCUUAUAAGAGAGAGAGAGAGAUAGAGACUGACUUUGUUAGCCCAUCCAAGUCUUCAGCAGUUAGUGAACAAGCACGGCCCAAACCAUCGGUUAUUAGAUCUUCAGCCGUCUCGGUUCCUCUAACAGCAAUUACAACACAUCUGAGAUAAUGCAAGACCACAACGAAGUAUGUUGCUUUACACUUCUCCUGCAAUAACAAAACAAUUACACUAAUAGAUGAGAAAAAGAUUCUAAAUGCAUUGAAGCCCACAAGAUACUCAAAAACAACUUCAAAUACACAUAAAUGUUUUCUUCAAAUAAUUGUUUUUUCUUCUACUAUAUCGAUUCAUUUGUGUUAGACCACAGAUAAAGCAAAGGCAUACAAGAUCUUUCUAACACAAGACUGCUAUGAAGGGAACAAACUUACACUACAAAUGCGACCUCGUCUAAGAACAUGAGCAGGAAAGUCUAUGAACUUAAGGAAGGCAGCUGCAUGACCUCGCCACCAAUUGUCACCAUCAAGCUUAGGCCGCCUGCGAAUAAAUUGCAAGGAAAGCUUCUCACAUUAAUAUCAAACGAAACAAGACUUUUAAAGAAACAAGUUGGAGUUUUCUUCAAACGAGCUAACCAGGUGUAGUAUACCAUUUACGGCUCCAAGGUGUUAGUAUCCCUUGCCUACAUAUCCAUGUGCAUAGAAACAAAGCAGGGUUUCUCCCAACAUCAAGCAGUGGCCCCUGCAAAAAAUUGCCACACACGGAGGUGAGAUAUAAUCUACCCAUCUAAAAAAGAGCUUUGGGGGGUUUGUGUUGUUCAAACGUACAGUAUAAGCAGCUUCUGCGAAUUUAUGCAACGUGGCAGCCUCCUGGAGAUGAAACGCUGGAGCUUCUAUACAGUCUUCAUGCGAUUCAGGAAACUGGCUAUUGUUCUGCAACAGAGCAAGGCCUGAAAUAGACGAAGUGAUUAGAGACUUUCUCCACAUUGUUUAUUUCCUAAAUAGACUAAAAGUUUCAGAUCUUAUUAACCUGCUAAAAACUCCAGGUGGCCAGUGCCUGAUGCACGAUAUGAAACAAGAUCACCUAGCAGUCUUGCAACUGAACACACUUCGUCUUCCUCAAUAACUCCCCUGGAGCAGAGAAACAAAUUCUAAGAGUCUGAACAAAGUAAACUUGCUAUAGACAAAAAAAAUAAGUUUCAAAAAUUAGGACAAGAUAUAGUUGUCGUUCUAGAGUUUUGCACACAAAUUAAGAAACUAGUUAAAUGUUCAAAUUUGCCCAUUAUAAUUGCAUAACAUUUAUUGAAAUCAAAUUAAAAGAAAAAAUUGUAUUGCAAUCAUAAAAAUACACUUAUUUUUGUUACAAAAAUUUUAUGCUACAACGACACUUAAUUUGAAAUGGAGAGAGUAUUCACUAAAACUUACAUAUAUUCGCGACGCCCAAGACAGCACAAAACCUCACGAAUCCCAUGGUCAAACACCUCCUGGUAAUGAGCUUUCCAGGCAUCAUCUUGAGUUGCGUAGAAAGACCGCCAUUGCAGUAUAUCUGAUCCGGUAAAGCAUUGAGCCAACGCAACAAAGCAGACAGUGAUCAAGAAGGCAACCUGCAGCGUUUGCUUCCACCCACGCGUGUCUGAAGAUAGCCCUGAGCAAAAGAAAGUUACCAAAAGAGGUUCUUAAACAAGAAAAAAGUGAAAAAAAAAAACAAUUACAUAGCUAUACAACUGAACUACAAAAUAAAGCUUCAACUUAUAUGAGGCCAAACAAGAUUAGAACUGCCCAAGUAGGUGACUUUAGACAGCCAAAUCAAUUUAAAUUUGUGUCUUAUAAGUUAACUGAACUACAAAUAAAGCUUCAACACAGAGGAAAGAUAGAUAGCCUCAUAAAAUAUUUAUGAAGAUUCUAACUGCCUAAGUACGCCAAUUUAGACAACCAAAACAAUUUAAAUUUGUAUGUCUUUUUAAGUUUUUACCUAAAACGCAAUGUCUUGGCAAUCCAUCAGGGGAAACAAAGGUGGAGACACGGAACAUAAGGUAAGAUGCACCAAUAAAUUGCAGUAGAGUAAUUACCAUUGCAAACCGUGUCCACCACAGCCACGUCUUAUACUUCAUCUGCAAACCCACAAAGUAAAUGAACUAUUAAACACUAAAGAGAAAUGUAUAAUCAAAGAAACAAUUACAUCAAUAAAGGCGACACCUUUCCUUCAAAGACUUGAUUUUUAAAAACGAAAAUUCACAAUUUAGAGAAAAAGGCGUUACCUUUCGUUCGAGGCUGUAAUGAGUAGGAGAAUCCAUGAUGGUCAUAGCCAUGAGCUCCUGUGUAGACCCGACCUUAACCAUAACGGCGAGUUUGACGCAGGCGGCUACGCAAACGGCGUAGAGGGGGAAAAGCUGGGCGGCGCUGUCGCAAUUUGAGUUGGAGACGAGAGUCAGGACACCGCCGGAGACGAUUAUUGCCGAAUUGGCAAUGCCGAGAACGAUUAUCGUUUUCCUAACUCUCUUCAACCUCGAAAUCCACAUGAUUGUUUGGGUGAUUGUUCCGGUGGUGGUCGUUGUCGGAGAUUAGAAGGUCAAUGUCUCGACGGGCAAGGAAGCACGAAGAGACAUCUCCGAGAGAAAUCCGCACACGGAUCUCUGUCGAUUUUGUUUCAGAUAUGUUUUUUGAGAGAAAAACAAUCUGAUCUUCGGACACAGUUGGAAUCUAUGUCCGAACGAAAUAAAAAUAAAUAAAUAACACGGAACACUUUAUUAAAAGUUAGUUAUAACUUAUAAAUACUAUUAUAUGGUUGGCUUGGUCCCAAAAUUAUAUUUCAUGACUAAUUAUUCCCACGUUACAUGAUGAAUUAUCUGAGUUGGCCAAAGAUUGGAGUUAAUUUUACCAAUAUUUGUUUGUUUUUUUUUGUAACAAAGAAAUAUUUGUUUUAGCGAUAAAAUAAAAACCUUUUAAGGGAGAAACUACUUUUUUGUUAUAUUAAAGAAAACAGAGAACUGUGAACAGAGCAGUCUCUCUGAGAAAGCACAGUUUUGGAGUGGUUUUUUAUGUGCAUGAAGAGGCUGAAGAGAGCCAUCAGUCAUUAGAUUGAGAUCGAUCUUUGUCAACGUUAAUAUGACCAGACACAGAUGAAUACAAAUGGAUCCCGAGUCAACAAGUACAUGAGGAGAUGGCCAUGAAAGGAAGGGAGCUCGGGUUCUAAGCUUAUCAACUCACAGGACUAUAAGUACCAUGUUUUCAGUGUGGCCUCUAUUCACCAGAUUUAUAUAUAUGGGUAUGCUUUGGCAACAAGGUUGCUGAAAGUUCCUGAAUUUCAAUCCCCACCAAGGGUUUCAACCACACUGCAUUGUAAUCGCGAAUCAGAAGAUAUCAGCUCUAGAACCUCGCGGAUAUAACCGUUCUCCACAUGGGCACUGUCACCGGCCAUGAACACAUGUGUCCGAUCAUCAAUCUCUAUAGAACUAAACCCAGGCUGCUUCUUUAGACCUAGACCUUUCAUCUUCCUUCUCAUCUUACUUGCUCCUUCCCACUGUCCAUCAGCAGCAUACAUGUUCGAAAGAAUCACGUAGUUAGAAUGCCCCUUCACUUUAAGCUCGCUAAGACGCUUCAUCAUCCUCUCCGCUAGCUCUGUAUCGUUCCCAUGAGUCCUGCAGGCUGCAAGCAACGACCCAAUCACAACUUCAUUAGGCUUCAUCGGCAUGCUCUCUACCACCUUCAAAGCCUCUUCCAGUCUCCCAGCACGGCUAUACAAAUCCACUAAGCAUCCGUAGUGUUCAAUCCGAGGCGAGAUUCUGUAAUCCCUUUUCAUAGCUUCGAAAUAUCCAACACCUUCUGCAACUAAACCUACAUGACUACAAGCAGUUAACGCCCCUGUGAAAGUCACCGCGUCAGGCUUAAACCUUUCUUCUUGCAUUCUUCUGAAGUAGACCAAAGACUCAUGCGCAUGCCCGUUAGCAGCAAAACCAACAAUAACAGAGUUCCACGAAACCACGGUUCGUUUCUCCAUCUCAUCAAAAACCUGUCGAGCAAACUCCACACACCCGCAUCGACAAUACAAAUCAAUCAGCGAGUUACUAACCCUCACAUUGUUCUUAAAAUCCUGACUCACAACAAAACGAUGCACCCACAAUCCAAAAGAUAAAGCACCAAGGCUUGUGCAAGCGGCAAGAGCAGAGAUAACAGCAACGUAAUCUGGCUUCACUCCAGAGACUUGCAUCUCACGGAACCACGCCAAAGCUUCCUCGUGCAAACCCUUUUUAACAAACCCGUUUAUCAUAGCCGUCCAAGAAAUCAAGUCUCUCUCAGGCAUUUCGUCGAACACCUUUGCGGCGUCGUCGACUCGGCCGCUCCUCAUGUAUCCGUCGAUCAUUGUGUUCCAAGUAACCGAAUUUUUAUCUUCAAUGCGAUCGAAAACAAGCCUAGCCUUCCUAAAACGACGGCGUUUGGAGUACAUGCCGAUGAUCGCGGUGCCGACCAUGACGUGGUUUCUAUCGAGGCCAAGUUUACAAGCGUACCCGUGAAGCGAAACGCCCAAGUCUUCGCAAUCACCGCAUCCGGAGAGCAGAGCGAUGAAAGUGAUGUGGUUAGGCUCGACGCCGGCGAGUCUCAUGGCGGUGAAUUCCUUCGCUGCCUCGGCUAAUCGGCCGUUGCGUGAGAGGAGAGUGAUGCGAGAAGUCCAUGAGACUGUGGUUUCAGAGGUAGUCUUUGGAUUGGUGUGGUUGUUGCGAGAGAUGAAAGGUAUCUGUUGCGGUGGCGCCGGCGACGGGAUUCCGACGGCGGGAAGGAGGGCCAUUGGAUAUGUGCUAAACCCGAAUUUGGAUUAAGAAGACCGAAAAUGUAAACCGGGAAAACAGAUUUUUGUUUGGUUUUAUAUUACCCGGUCUUUAUGAACCGGAGAUUAUUGCAUUUUGGAUAUUUUAAACCGGGAUUAACCGGAUCGGAUUAUUAGCAACCCAACAUUAAUUUCGCAUCUGCGAAGGCUUUUGGAUCUGUUGAUGAGAAAGAGAGGAUGGAGAUGGCUCGAGCUUGGUCGAAGAUGAUGGUGACGGUGAUGAUCUUGAUGCUCACAUCGACGAUCUCAGCGAAAGAGCAGCUGAGCACUAAAGAGUGCGAGGAUCUAGGAUUCACCGGCCUUGCUCUCUGCUCCGAUUGCCACUCGCUCUCUGAAUACGUCAAGGACCAAGGUUCGUUCCCUUAUAUGCGUGGCUGAUUGAGUAUACACUUGAUAUGAAUCUCGAUUCGGGAUGUGUGAUGAUCUGGAAUCUAGAAUUGUGGAUUAGGAUUGCUUAAGAUAAUUUUUAGAAAUCAAGAGUGUAUGUAAUCUGGAACAGUUAAGAAGAGACGAAUAUCUUUAGUUUAUGAACAACGUUGGAGGCUAUCGUAUUGUAUACAUCAAUGUGUCUGUAUCACGUGAAUCAAACUCUUUUGAGGGAUAUCAUAUUGCAUACAUUAUGUUUAUAUUAGUAUUGUGUACUUUGCAGAGUUGGUAUCUGAGUGCUUGAAAUGUUGCGCUGAUGAUUCUGAGGAUUCCAUGAGUAAGGUAUGAUUUUCAAACUGGAGAUAGAUUAGAGAUGGAGACAGCAACACUCAUUGAAUGAAGAUGAGGAGAGUGAUGACUCGCUUACACUUUUUGUUUUUCUUUUCGCGACUGUAGGUUACUUAUUCAGGCGCUAUAUUGGAGGUGUGUAUGAGAAAGCUGGUUUUCUAUCCUGAGAUUGUUGGUUUUAUUGAAGAAGAGAAACAAAACUUCCCUACCCUUAAAGUUGAGUACGUUUUCAACUCACCGCCCAAGUUGAUCAUGCUCGAUGGAGAUGAUGAACGUAAGGAAACUAUAAGGUAAAAUUUGCUUUCCCUCUCUUUCUUCAACCCUUUUUGCUCUGGAAUAGUCUGAAUUUGUGAGCUCUUAAUUUAACAAAGAGUUUUGGUAUUUGAAUCGAGUUUAUCUGACUUCAAGGUAACUUAAUAGGCUAAUAUAUUCAUGUUAGCAUGGUAGAUAAAUGUGUAAAUGCAACUAUCUAUCUAUCCACAUCAAUUUUGAAUUUCACUCUCUGGAUGCUCUGGUACAUUGUCCCAUAUGAUUACUGAAACUUCUACUUUUGAAAAUUGGUUUUUGGAGGAAGUUACUAUAAUUAUCAAGGAGGAUGAAUAAAUCAAAGCUAGUGAUGUGUUUGACCUCUUAUCCACAUUUAGUAGAAGGGCUACAUUCCCUACAAAGUUGUAACUCCUUUUUUGUUUCUCGAUUUUCUUGCUUUGCAGAAUUGACAACUGGAAACGCGAGCAUCUACUCCAGUAUAUGCGGGAGAAGGUCAAGUCUGCUUCAUCAAGUUAGUGUAAUCACUCUGAAUGCCUGUGUCAAAGCACUGUGAUCUAAUAGUUAAAUAACAUAUUGUGAUCGACUUGUCUUUAUUUUCUCCAUGCUAUUUGUUCCCUCAUCAUCAGUAGUCUGUAUGUUCUGAACCUUUGCAAUCUAAGUAUUGAUGCCUUCUUCCAAUGUUCUUAUGAAAGAGUAACGUGAAUCUUUUUAUCGUUUACUUGGCUGUUUAGUAUAAUUACAAGCAAAAUCCAUCUCACUUCUUGUGUUAUAACGGAUAGCUUUCGUAAGAUCACAACAAAAACUAAGAUAUCUGAGGCAAUCUUUGGCAUAAAAAUUACUUAGCAUUAGAAUCGUUUGGUUUAUGUUUAGGCAAAUUACAUAAUAAGCUGGUCAAAUAAGAAGUCGAAUAGUAAACAGCCAUCACCAACUCUGAGCUGUUCUAAACCAACUUCAUGCGUCUCUGGAGUCUGGUCUAUGUAUGUUACACAUGCAUCAUCUAAACAAUACAGUUGACCUUCUCUUUUAAGCUUAAGACAAAGAUCUUAGUAGAGGUUGGGAAGAGUCGAAUCAGUCAUCUAAAGGGUGACUGAGACUUGACACCAAAAGCUGGAGAUGGAGGAGUCUUCACGGGCGCCCAGAUAUCGGCCCCGUUGCUUUGAGCAACUCCUGCUGUAUACUCCAUUGGAACAAGACAUAAUCCUCUGUUUCUCAGGCUGUACUGCUCCAGCUCCUCCUGUAAGAUACCCAAAGUUAGUUCAGAUCAGAGUGUGAAGCAUUGCAUUUGCAAGAUGAUCAGAUUGUGAUAGUGAACCGGGAAUAAAUGUGUUUACCUGCGUAGCAGCGGUCAUUGUUUGCAGAUACGGAGCGCUUAGCACCUGCACAAGAAGAACAUGACGUUUUCUUAAGUAAGAAGAUGAAAGAAUCAUGGUUGGUAAAUGGUAAUGGUAUUGAACUGAUAUGAAGAGAAAUGGGCAGACCUUCACUUGUUCAUGUAGAAACUCUAUGUAGUGCAACGCGUCUUGAAGAACUGAUGCAGUGUCGGUCUGUAGCAUGGAGGAGUCAAAUGAGAUUAAAGAAAAAAAAUAUGUGUGGAGAUUUUAAUUUUCUUAACAGAAGAUGUUACCUUUCCGUAAGGGGAAACUAUCUGUUGAAGAGCUGAGAUACGGUCUCCAGCUUUGUCCUUUCUCUGCUGUUUAAACCAUUUAAGAGAACAAAGAUGGAAGAAUCAUUACCAUGUUGCACUCUUGUGAGAACUAGGUUUAAGCAAUACCUUGGAACUGAAAGAGAGAUCAGACUUAUGGCGCUUGAUGCUAUUUUCUUCAAGAGAACAGACAUUCUGCUUAUUUUCCAUCAUCAUUCCAGCUUCUCUAGAGAAUUCCAUCCCUCUGUGACUCUGUCAAUGAAAAACACAUCAAGAAAUGUGAAAACUCAUCAACGGUACAUGGUUAAUAUUAUAUUACUACAAGAGGAAGACAUUUCACAAGAGGGUUAACAGACCAAGAAGAUUACAAGAUCUAUAUGACUGAAGAUCUAUGUAUUGAACAAAUCAAUGCAUUUGGGAGACAGGAUAUGGAUUUGAGGAAAUUUAGCCAAGACAAAGGUUUGGUCAACGAAGUAGGCAAGGACCUUGUGGUCAGAGGCUAAAGCCUGCAGAGUUCACAUCAGCUUAAGUAUUAUUUUAAGGAUUCGUAAGCACAAUUAUAAGCUCAAACAGAAUAUCUUAUGAUAACUUGCUUAAAAUAUUUCCUUAAUACACAUAAACUGACAAUAACAUCUUAUCUGCAUGAAUCACUUUCUUCCCUUAAAAACAGGAGAAAACCCCAAACAAAAACAAAACAAAAAUCCUCCACGCAACAAAGGAGAACAAAUACACUUUCCUCAGGGGAUUAUUGAACUAACUUAAACAAUAAAAUAACUUAUACUCCGCUACAGUAAAUUAACUAUCUGAGUAGAAAGAAACUGUAGAACAUUAUCAAGAAGCUAAUCUAGCUGAAAGUCAGCACCAAGAAGAGGAGAUAGAGAAAUAAAUAUGCUACAAGUUUGUAUAACUAAAGAAACAGAACAGAGAGAGAGAGAGAGAGGCUCACAAACUGGCAGAAGAGUAUAAGAAAAAUAUAUUUUCUUCAAGAACACACCACCCACAACUUCUCAAAGCUCCAAUUUUAUUCCUCAAAACCCUAAAAACAACUGUAGUAUUUUUUGUCCUUCAGCUUCUUGACAACACCAAAACCGAUAAGACACAAAUGUUUCUCCCUCUAUCUCUCUCUAUGUUUUGUGAUUUCUCAGUCCAAAAGGAAAACUCCAAACCGUAUUACAUGAGAAUCUUUUGGCAGGUGAUGAAGAAGAUGACCUCAGACAGACUGAGUGAAAAUGGUGGAGUCGUUUCUUUAAAAAAGGGAUUAGAGUAUUCGCAAAAAUCUCGGCGUUAGAAGAGGGGAGAGAGAAGACACUGUGAAUGUAUGUAUAUAUGCUAAAAGAACAAGGAUCUACUACCAUUUCACAACUUUUGCAAACUUUUAUAAAGUUCUAACUAGAGAGUAAAGACUAAUUCAAGUUACAAAAAAAAAAAAAAAAAAAAGAGUAAAGACUAAUUCCUAAUUAAUUCAGACUAAUUGCAUUAGGAAUAAAUAAAUACUACUGUUUAACGUUAAAACUUUUUUUACUUAAAGUGAAUACUGUUCCUGGAAAACAUUUGAUUGAUAUUUUAUCGUAUAGUAAUAUUUUGACAGCUAUUAUGCAACCCAUAGGGAUGGAGAAAGGUCCUAGCUAGAAGUUAUAGAGUUCGAAGUUAUAUCACUCCCCCAGGUAGAAUUCGCUUUUAUUAUUAUUUUCCACACUAGUCAUCAUUAUCAUCACUAUAGCUAGCAUGUAGCCUUAUUUUUCUUUGUUUUGACAGUGACAUUUGAAAAGUUAUUUUUAAUUUGUCAAAACAUUUGACCAACUCUUAUCUUUUCCUUUCAACUUUUUUGCCUCUCUCUUUCUUUUGAAUUUUGCUCUCUUUUUUCCUCUUUGAAAAUUAACCUCAAAAGUCAUUUCAAACAGAGAGAGAGAGGUUAACGCAUCUGAAUACAGCCAGUACAAUUCUCUGAGUUGUUGAUAUUUCAAGGUAAAAUUAUAAAUCAAUCAAUCAAUCGGUUUCACAAUGAAAAGAAAACAUGAACAAAUGAAAACUAAAUAAAGAGAAAGAAAACAUCAAUUCUUUACAAAAUAUAGUACAGUGUCACUCACUUUUACAUUAUUAUUUUCAUAAAAUAUGCUACACGUAAUUAAAUAUGUAUCAAGUGAGAAAGAGAGAGAAAGUAGAUCUGCGGUGGUUUCGGCGUUCGGUCGGCGCGUGAGCGUCCGUGCCAACGCCGGAGUCCGUCGUCCUUCAGUUUAAUAGUUUCGGAAUUGUCUUCUCCUCAUCUCCUUCAGUGGCCGCCUUGUCUGACCUCUGGCCAAACAUCCACCGUGGUGGUUCUGAUCUUGGAGUGAAGACGCGGUUACUUGGAGGGUUGGCGCGGUGAAGAUGAUAGUUGGUUGGGUCCUGUUUCCGGGAGGUGGAGGCUUCCACAGCUUCGCCGCCGCCGGUUCUUGUCGCCGCGAGGUGGAAGCUUCUUCAGUUUCGCCGUAGUCGGUUCUAGUCGCCGGGAGGUGAAGGCUACCACAGCCUUGCGUCGUCGGCUGUAGGUAUAUCAGUGGGUUUGUUUAGGGUUUUUAGGAUCCGUUCUUUAGAUCUGGUUGGUUGUCUUGCGGGUUUAGUGUUUGAGAGGUUGGGCCUUGUCGGAGGAGCUCUCGAAGAGUGUUGAGGCUCUCCGAUGAGUUGAUGAAGCGAAGAAAAGAGAUGGUUUCGACGGAGGCUCUCCAGGUUAUGAGCUCCGGCGAAAGGAAGUGGCGGUGAUGUGGUACCGAUGGAGACCUGCGGCGAAGACGGUCAAGUCGAGAUGGUGGCGACGCGUGUCGUCCUGAGAGUUUAGAUGCUCACACGUGUUCAGUUGCCACCCUCCUUGUUGCGUAGUUCGGCCGACGUCGUUCGGGAGUUAAAUGGUUGGGCCGACGGCCCGUUAAUGGAUUCGGUUUUAAUGUUUUGGGCCUGUUGCCUUUUAGUUGUAUCUGGGCUUCGGAAUAUGUUAUCUGGGCUUGGCCCGUUUUCUUUAAUUAAAAAUUAUCCAGACGGAAAAAAAAAAAACAAUGUUUGAUGCAAAAAAAAAAAAUUAAAUAUGUAUCAAGUAGUAUCCGUAAAUUAAUCAUAAGUAUUAUUCACAAGAGAAUUAGAUGUAGAGUGAUAAUAAAUAAGUUAGAUUUGAUCAUAAAUAGCUUAAACUAUUGAAGUAACUGAGAGACGAGUAAGACAACUUUAAGCUUGUCUGACGUCAAUGCAAACACGCACAGAGAUUCAGACACGCUCACAAGACGCGCGCGCGUGCGCAUAAAUAUCAUAAACUCGCGCUUUGAAAUCAUUCACGUUUCAGGGGUUCAAAAGAAUCGCGUUCUAAAACGCAGAGUAGGUUAAAUAGAGAUUUGUGGGGACAGAUGCAGAGACCGUGCGUCGCAAAAGUCCAAGGAAUCAGCGGUUUCUUCAAAAGGUUAAUGGGCCCCAACGCGUUUUUGGUCUUUGUCUCCAUGUCACUAUCUUCUUUUGUCCUUUUUUUUUCUAUCUUGUGGCGACCGGAUUAGGUAAUGUACUAUUACCUCAUAUGUAAUGGGUUAAUGUUAGGCUUUAGCUUUUGUAAUAAGUUAAAUUUUAGUUGGGCUUCGUUUGAAAGCAGCCUGUAAUGUUUUUGGCCUUUUAAUUUUAAUGAACCUUUUGUGGAGAAAAAAAAGACUCCAAAAAACAUAAGAAUUCAUUAAUCUUCAACACCAUAAUGAGUUAUGGAUUUCAAGUCACAGAAAAAAAAUUUCUUACAUGGUGCAAUGAAUAUCAAUAUAUCAUCAAACGUAAAUUUCAUAAGAUAACUUGAAAUCAAACGUGAAUUCUAAUCAAAUAUGUAAAAUUAUCAGUUGUAUAAUCAAUCUUUUUUUUUUUUUUGGUAAAAAUGUUAAAUUCAUUACCAGUUUUCAAUUUUUUAUAGACAAACAUAGAUGACAAGAAGCAGAAUACAGAAAAUAAAAUCUAACAGAAACUCAAACCUAAUGUUACAGAGCCUAUCUACAAGAAUAACAGCAGUACACAAAAGAAAACAUCAGAGACAGAACACUCGCUUGCCGCAGAAAUCAAACCCGCAAUUAAACCGAGAGAUUGGACCCGGGAGAAAUUGGCGAACCGCGGUGACCAACUCUUAAUGAUCGGGUUGUCAAAAACAGCUCGCUAAGACCAUCUAAUCUGCGACCUUCAUGGACAAACUGCUAGACUCGUGACCAAGGACACCUGCAUUGAGAAGGUUGAGCUUUAUUGGAGAAGGAGCACCCACAAGCCGCCACACGCUAUCGAACCUGCAUCAGAAAGACAUAAACAACAACCUCCACCCUUAAGGCAAAGCGGACCUGAGACAGCCCUAGAUCAGCCUCAAAACCCUGCUAUCUCAGCACGUGCCGCCACCAAGGAGAUGAGCCACGGUUGACAAGACCAGCAACUCAUCUCUUCGCACACGCCCCUGCGACGGAGAACCCGCCGUAGACCAUUCUGACUUGGAAACGAAAGCAGCUCGAGGAAGCCUCUGAGAGGAAGAUUGACCGGCCCAAAAAGCACGUUGCUGGAGACCACCGAGACAAGGGGAAGAAGCACCGCAGCUCCACCGUCUAAGGGAUCCAUGACGCCUUCAGCCAAGCUAAUCCACUCACCCAGCCGAGAAGAGCAAGCAAAGAGGGCAAGAGGAAGGAGAGAGAUCUCACAACCAAAGUCCAGAUCUGACACCAGAUCCAAACCCCCGCCACUCAACGCACCCAGAGGAACCGCACAUCCACUCUCCGCCCUGCUUCUCCGGAGAUCCAAGUCCGACGCGCCAGAUCUGACCCAUACGGAAGCGCAAAGACACAGAACCACCGAAAAGGAAACAGAGGAGAGGAGAGAGAGGAGAGGCGAAGAGGGAACAAAAACAAAGAGAGGCGGGCGACCAGCGACUAAGGAGGAGGAGGAGCGCCGCCGGCCACCCAAACGUGAAAAAUUAGGGUUUUAUUCUAGAGAGGAUUGUAGAGAGAGAAAACUUUAUUUUUACGUCAGGUAGAAUGAUCUUGUAUAAUCAAUCUUUGUAAUACUUCUCAUAAUAACAUAAUUGAUUAUCGUAAAAAAUUAAAAAUAUAAAAAUACCACAAGUUCUUAGCAUUUUUUAUUUCCAACCCCUUGAAUUUACCUUUACACCCUUUGUGUUGUGUUAUCAGUGAUUCUUGUUACUCUCUUCUCUUUGAAGACACUCCUUAAGUCCUCUAACAAUCUGUUGCAUGGCUGGCCUCUCAGCAACGUUCUGCGAAACAGAGGCCAAAGCAAGCUCCACAAUUUUCCAAACAGAGUUGGCAUCAAAAUCUCCCCCCAUUUUAGAAUCAACAACGUUGCUCACAUCAUUAGUAGACUUCAAGAUGGAUAUCACCCAAUCACUCACAUGCACACGCUUCGUCUCUGACUCACUGAUCACAGCUUUGCCUGUAAUCAUCUCCAAUAAAACAACUCCAAAGCUGUAGAUGUCACUCUUCUCGUUUAAUUCAUUUGUUUUAAAGCAUCUGCACAUUAUUUUAACAAACAGAACACAAUCAACACAAUAUUUAUUAUAUAUAUCUUAUAUAGGAUCGAUGGUCAACUUUGGACCGAAUCCAUUUUAUAUAUUAUUUAAGAUCUCUUGCAAUAUCCAAUGUGGUAGACUUUGUAAUAGAGAGAGAACUAACAGUGGAUCAAGAUAUCCAGGAGUUCCAGCGACAAGAGUGGACACGUGAGAACGGCUCUCUGUCUGAAAACUCCUAGAGAGUCCAAAAUCUGCAAGCUUUGCUCUGUUGUUCUCGUUCAACAAUAUGUUCGAUGUCUUCACAUCUCUGUGAACUAUCGCAGGUUUGCAUCCACUGUGAAGAUACUCCAGCCCUUGUGCUGCAUCAAGUGCAAUCUGAAGUCUUUGUCUCCAGCUCAAGGAAUGGUCAUACUUCCCUGAGAGAUGAUCUGCCAUGUUUCCAUUAGCCAUGAACUCAUAGACGAAUCCCAUUUGAUUAGAUUCAUGGAAAUAGCCGAUCAGUGCAGUGAGGUUUACGUGAUGAACCCUCACAAGUACUUCAACCUAUACAAAUAUAUGUUGUUAGAGUCAACCUUAAUGGUGGGAAUGCUCAUUUGAAUAUCUUUUAUAUUUGUUAUUAUUGUUUUAAAUUUUCAUUUUUACAACAAAAUUAAUUUCUAAAACCAUGACAUGUGUCUUUGUAGUAUGUAAAGAAGUUUUUUGAAAUACAAGUUCUCAAAGAUUUGUUCCUUCUUCUUAAUUUUAAAUUUUUUAAUUAUUAUUUUGUGGAUAUACUUUGGCUAAGGAAUCAAGUACAUUACCUCAGAGCGAAACUCUUUGAAUCCUUGAGCUGAUGAUUCUGAUAAAAGUUUAACUGCUACUUGAAGGUCGUUAUAGUAGCCAUGGUACACUGUUCCGAAACCUCCUUUACCAAGGACACGGCCAAAGUUAUUUGUCAUCUUUACAAUGUCUGGAAAGGUAAGAAGUAAUGUGUUUGAAUCCGCCUUAGGACGGUUUCUUGUUUCGCUGUCUGUAUCUUGUUCCACUGUCGCAAAAAUAAAGUUGAACAGUUGGUAAUGUGAUAAGCAGUUAGAUAGGUAUGUCAAUAGACUGUUACCUGGCUUGUUACUUCGUUUCUUGAUCUUCCAAAACACACCAGAUAAUAGCAAGAGAAUGAACAAUGCUGCCAAUGAUGCGCCAACCGCGGUUAUGAGUGUUUUUUUGUUGCUUUUUACGCAAGAAAUCUCGGUACAUAGGCCUGGAUUGUCUCCAACCUUUAGCAAGAGUGGUCCGCUCAUUGAUCUUCUUAAUAAGUCAGAUGGAACUGAACCUGUUAGCUUGUUCUUCUCUAGAUUCCUGCAGGUGUUAUUAAGAGUUAGAGCCUGUCUUUUAUCGAUCUAAUCUGUUAUGACAUAACUUACAAAACCCUCAAGAACUUCAGUCCUGACAGGGACUCUGGUAUGUCUCCGGUUAAGUCAUUGUUUGAUAAGUCUCUGCCAAUUAAGAAGAUAAAUAGUAGUUUAAUUCCUUGUUCAAAUCAAGAAACUCUUUAACAAUAUAAAGAAAGAUAAACUCACAGCUCUUCAAUCAUUGUGAGGUUAGAGAAAGAGGGAGAUAUGUGACCUGUUAACCCGCUCGAAGAUAAGUUCCUGAAUCCUUUAAGCAAUCAAUAUACAAAAUCUAAAGAUUGAACAAGAACAUAUGAGGACAAAACUACACUUACAGUAAUGUGAUUCUUGGAGGAGCAAAACUAGUAUCACUGCAGUUAAGUCCCUCCCAUAUGUAGCUAUUAGGCAAACAAGGAUCUCCUUGCCAGUUUCUCUUCACUUUAUAACUCAUCUUUAUACUCGUAACCGCGUCAUCUGUACAUUUUAACUGAAACCAUUGAUCAAACUAUGAUUAAAAGAUUGAAUUAGUUUAAGUCAUCUUACAAGCACGUACCGUCGUCUUGGCUAGUAAGAGACUGCGAGUAAGUAUUGCCUACGUAGAUCUCUAGAGCAUUAAUAAGCGGUGGAAGCGUAGACUGGGGGGUUCUCUCGAGAGUAAACCUAAUAUCUGUUUGGCUCUCAGGCGUCAGAACAAAAGUGUCUGACCGAAGAUACUUGGGACUGAAGUCAGCUAGUGUCUCCCCGUUAAUGCGGAUAUGGAACUCUCUUGUCUGGUCAGGUGUGAGACUGAGAUCCUCGACCUCAGCGAAGUGCAUGUAAACAAAGUACCUGACGGUUGGAUCACUGUUCUCCAAAAUCAUAGUGAUGGGGCUUGUUGCGUUUGUGGGAGUCAGUGCUGUGCUCAUCACCGAGCUUGGAAGGUUGUAACUAUUACUAUUGCCUGAAAUAACUGGACGUGAUGUAUUGAUCUCUCUAUAUUGUGUCCCCAGUUUGCGAGGAAUCCAGAUUCGGUCAUAUACAUCUUCACUAUACCUGAUUUUUUUUAAAAUAAAACAUUCCCAACUUUAUUACAGUGUAGGUAAAGAGCUACAUAAACAGAGAAUAAAUAGAAACAGAGCAAGAAACAGAGGAUGGAACAGAGAGUAUGAAACAGAGAAUAAGUAGAAACAGAGCAAGAAACAGAGGAGGAAACAGAGGAUAAGUAGAAACAGAGUAUGAAACAGAGAGCAUAAAACAGAGGAUGGAACAGAGGUUUACCUGAUAUGUUGUGAAUCAUUGAGAGAACCAAAGUUCCAGCGUCUGGAGAAGAACAGAGCACUAUUUGGAGAAUCGUACGUCGUGUUGUCGUUACCGAGAAAUCUCAGCUCUAGAGUCGAGAUAAAUGGAGUUCCUUUACCUUUGUUUCCCAAACAGACAAAGAUUUUCUCAGACUGGCUCAAGUAAACAACUUCUUUGGUCACUGGGAGGGGUGUGUUGUUAAAGGACAGAUUUGUCCAGAGACUGCCACCAAGAAACAGAUCAAAUUCUGGUGAACUGUUUUCUCCGCGUAGUUACCGUACAAGAAACUGGUUCUUAUCAAGUACUUCUUACCUUUCCCCUGUUCUGGAAUCAGAGUGUAACAGUUUCUUGAACCUUCAGGAAAGCUCCUCAGGUUCUGAAGCUGUCUUUGAGCAGCGAAGGAGAGCGUUUUAGAGACUCCGGUUUCAACAAAGGAUGAAUCAGAGACGUAGUUAAUGCCCGUUGUGUCGUCUGUGUAGGAUGAUCCACUUGGGAUCCCACAGUCAAUGCUUAUGAAACCUGUAAGAUUAUACAUUUUCAUAAAACAGGAUUAGACUUUCUUCAUUUCAACGACUCUUAGAGAUUAAAUAAUCAGUUGAUAAAUUAUAACCUGAUUGAUCCUGGGAAAGAACUGAAAUGACCAAACACAGUGCAAGAUAUACCAAAAAUGGAAAACGAACGUUUCCCAUUUUAAUCUGGCUUUUGAGAAAAGGCAACAAGAAAUGGGUUUGAGAUAUGUGAUGUGAUGAAGUUUGAAGUUCUGUAUUUAAAGAAAAAAAAAAUUGUUUUGGAGGUAAACUCUGAAGACCAAAAACAUAAACAAAUUGGAAGUUAAGUGAUUUAUAUUAGCUACUUGCUCUCUCUGUGACUUAGCAAAGUCAAUGAGAGAACUCAGCUGAUGUUUUCAAUAUAUAAACUAAAGUAUUUUUUUCAGUAUAAACUAGCAAGUAGCAAAUAUAUAUUUUCAGUACAUAACUCUAACUUAAAAUAUGUGUUAUACAUGACUAGCAUGAUCUUUAUUAUCUUCUGUCUGCCUUUAAAGUCUUCUGAGACUACUUUGAUAUGAACAACACAUUGUAUACAAAAAAAAAAGAAUUGUAUGAUGAUGAGAAAACUUCUUUACAACACUGUCAAAGAUCAAGACUCAGCAUGUAUAUAACAAAGUAACCAACAACAUGGUGAAGACAACAUUUGUUCCAAAACCACUAUGGUGGGCCUUGUUCAUGACACAUAGUCUUUAUCCCUAUCCCUUGUAUAUAUUUACACUUCAAUGACUCUAAAACCUAUCUUAUAUCAAAGCAGAACGGCGUGAAGAAUAGAAUGGACCAAGACUUCUUUUAGCAGCUGUAGUAACGUUUUCCGCAAGCAACCUCCAUUUAGACUCUUCUCUCUUGCUAAUCUUCUUCAUCUUCUCCUUGAAGUUCCUACAAGUUAUAAAAGAAAUGAUUACAAACUGUUUAUAUAACAUUCGAAGGAUCUGUUACUGGAACUUACCGGCAGAGAGGGACCUCGCAAGAAUCAGAACUACCACAGAGACAAGAGUGAAGCUGAAUAAGCUGCCACAUCCUUUUACAAUGACCACACGAAGCCCUAGCAGACUUGCAUCCCAAGAAAUGUCUAAGCCCACCUUCAACACCUUUACAAGCCGAGAACUCACACACAGCUUUGCUUCCCUUAAGCGCUUUACCUCGAGGCCCUAUCGUCCCACAACCUUCUCUAUAUAUAUGAACAAGAGCCUCCACAGCUUCAUAAAGCUCCAAAUACAUUCUCCUCUCCUCCACCUUCUUCCUCCUCUCUUUCUUCCUAGCGUCUGCCUCCACCACCGCCUCAAGAAGCUCUUGCUCUAGCUUACGAUCACCUCGCGUCAUCACCUUCCAUCCUUCCGUUGAAGAUACAGACUUAAAGUCUCUGAUGACCAUUGAAACGCAUAGAAAGCUGAUCCUCGCGGCGUCGCAGGUUCGAGCUAGCUGGAGCACGUCGAUGACAUUCUCCUUGUUGAUCCAUCCUUGACCGAGAACCUCUACGCAGACUCUUUUGAGAGAUGGGACCGAGUAGCAGUGUGAGAGAACCAACAAAGGGAGCACGUACUUCUUCAUGUCUUCCUCCUCGUAGCUGCAAGAGUAGAGAAACCGAAUGAACAUGUAGACAGCUUCUUGAGGCACUCCGAGGAACUUGAGGUGUGAAUUUCCUUUUUUGUCCCUUGACUGAUGUAGAAGCUGUGGCAUUACAGGUGAAGCUGCAGCCUACAUAAGAUGCAAUACAACCUUCUCUUAGCGUAUUACUUCUCUUAUAUGAGAUGAAAUAAGACUUUAUACUUACCAGUAUGUAUGAAUGGGCUAGAAAAUGAGAUUUGUUAUCGACUUCAACGUAUGUAUCUGCUCCAGUGCCUUCUUUGAAAAGCUUAUCCCAAGUUUCUAUUGUUUCUUGGGGCACAAGGCGUGAUGAUGAGCUCGAGGGUUUGCUUCUGGAAGCUUGGUAGGUUACACGAGGAAGAGGAGGAGGUUUUGGAAUAUUCUUGGCACAAGUAGAUACUUCUGAAGAAGCCAUUGAAUCAAAUCCCGCGACUUGAGAAUAGAUUAUGUUACAGUUCUUGAAUCUGCAAAGCAUCGACCACAAUGUCAAGAGUCGUACGUGAGAGCUAAGCAUCGACCAUAAAGUUCGAAACUUUGACACAAAACUGAUCAAAACAGAGGCAGAAACAGAGACUGUCACAGAACCAAGAAACGAAAGAACAGAGAAGCAAGAACGUUCAACAGAUGAAACUAUACGUAAAGAUUCUCAGUUUCGCAGUUCAUCAUUGCAAGAUAAAGUAAGCAAAACCCAGAAACUGUAACGAUCGAAAAGUGCUCAAACCCAACGAAGAACAGAGGAAGGGAGAAGAAACUGGAAGAGUCUUUGAUCAUUCUUACCCAGAAACAGAGACGACGACGUUUACCCAAUACUCGGCCGAGAUGAUAAAGAGUAUCUAGGUGAAGUUCAUAACCAUUACUCUUUCUUCAAUCACCACCAACUCAACGCGAUGCAGAGAAUGAUGAUCACAAUUGAAGAGCGAAGAAAGAGAAGUUUUUUUGGUGCCAAGUGGUUGGUUUCGUCCUUUAAGUCUAAAGCACACGGGAAGUAGCAAAUUUGCUUACUAAACGUCUGCCAAACGACGUCGUUAAUGAAGAAUUAGGAGUAUGGCAUUUUCUGACAUAAAGAACGAAAAAUUGAAGGCCACGAAUGAUUUUUAAAAAAGAAUAUUAUUAGCUUAAAAUGAUUUUGAGGGGAGAGAUAUUAUAAGGUUGAAAGACGUAUAUGGCUGAUCUUGAAUUGCACUAAAGACUAAAGUUAGUGCUCCUUGUCACCGCCAUUUUUGUAUUCUGUCUCUAUGCCCGGUAAGUUAAACUAAAUAGGUUUAUUAUUGGCACCUUAUCUUACCGACCAGCCGGUGGAAAAAUAGUACCGACCAGUCUAAUAAUAUGAUGGAUCCUUACUAGAAAUUAUAUAAGCGCAGAAUGUUCACUGUAAAAAGUAAAAUUAAUUAAGAAUGGUAAACAAAUUUAUCCAACAGAGUCAAAAUCAAGAACUUGGACUUUUGUAAAUAAGAUCUAUGAAUAUUACUGUAGGGACAACAUAUGAAUUGAGUGAUAUAAUAAGGUAGUGCUAACCAACUUUGUCACGGGUUUCGAGUGGACGGCGACGGAAAGUUCUUAAAACGGAGUGAUCAAACUCAAUAGUUUUAUUUUGCAGAAAUGUACUGUAAGCUUGGAAGAGCUUGGAGAUGACGGAUACAUGUGACUAGUCCAAUAAAAGAGCAACCGGCGUUAAACGACGUAUAUGUUUGCCUUCAAAUUACAUGUUAGUGUUACAGCUACGGGCCCAAAUAAUAGAACUAGAAGCCCAAUUAUUGGAUAUAAAAAGUACAUUAUCUUUCUUUUUUUUUAACGACAAACUAUUUUAUUAAUAUCAAACUGGAUUCAAAUGUUUACAUGAAACAUAAGAGAUAAACAACACAUUUUUAAGAAGAUUUUGAAAUUGGAAAAAUAAUAACACGUUGCUAUCUAACUCAUCCGUAGAAUAGGCUGAUACGCUAACUUUAUCCAUCUUCGUUCUCGGUCUUAGAUGAUCUUGUUUUUGGUUGUCAUGCAUUGUGACCAAAAGCCUCUUUUCUUUUCGAAGAUCAUUCGAUUGGAUCCAUCUGUUACAUCUCAAUCCGUCCUAUACACUUCCGCUGCAGGAGAUAACAUGUGUUGUUAUUGUCUUAACUCUCCAUGAUCUAGGUUUUCUCCCGAUUUGAAACCAACAAACACAAUAACUAAAGUACUCCACAUUGUGUUGAUGUUGUAAUAUAACCAUUGGACGCUGUUUCAGAACACUAUUUCCUUCAUCUUGGCCAUUACCAGACUCCUCCCAUUUUUUAUUUUUUGGUACAUUAUCUUUCAUAUUUUUUAAAUACUACCAUAAAGUUUUUUUUUUUCAUUUAAGAACUUAAAAGACCUUCAUUAAUAAUUUAGAUUUUAUAACUUUGAAAAUGUACUGUCUGAUAGUUAUUAGCGGAAAAAUGAUGUACAUCAACAUAGAGAAAUUUGUUAGCAUAUUAAAAAAAUUAUAUGAAAUAACGAAAAAUAUACAUAUCAUCACUUGAUAAACAUCUAGGGAGAUCCAAUAACACAUGUAUAAUCUGAUUACCAAAAAAAAAAAAAAAACACAUGUAUAAUCUAUUUGGAACUCUACUAUUUUACAUACUGAGAAUGUAUAUAAGUGAAACGAAGACUAGUCAAUAAUGUAUAACUGAAUGUUUUUAAUAUUCCUAUGAACAAAUAACCGUCGACCACUCAUAAUUCAAAUGAAAAUGACGGCAGAAUAUCUUGAGCCUCAAGAAAGAAGAGUCGCCAACGACUCGGGUCUCUUUUGGAGCAGGUCCAAAGGCAGUAAAGAGUUAAAUUAAUAGAAAAAAUAAAAAAGUAUGAGAGAUGUAGCUCAAAAAUUGCUCGAAUACAACAAUAGAACUCUUCUAGAUACUCUAAAUACAACUGUUAUUUUAUAAUUAACCUAACUAUUUAAAGAUAAAUAAAGUUUAAUCAGAUAAAUAAAAUAAAUUAUAAUAAUAAUAUAAAUCUGACAAGAACUCCAUUGAACAACUUUUAGUGUGGAAGAAAUUCUUAGCAUUGAAUUUAUAAUCCUACCGUUUCACAAAGAUAGUUUUUUAGUAUUUUUACAUAUAUUAAAAAACAUAUUAAAUCACUAUAAUAAAUAUAUUGUUUUCUAUAAUUUUCAAAUUUUGAUAAUUUUUAAGUAAUAGUAAAUUAAUAAAGUCAAAUAAUUUUUUUAAAAAUUACAAUUUUUUCAUAGAAAAUACAAAAAAACAAUUUUUGUAAAACAAUUUUUUUCUCUAAAACAUCUAACUUAAUGAAACGGAGGAAAUAGUUUAUAAAACCACUUCUUCAAAGCAAAUUAUUUGUAAAUAUAUGGUAUAUAUAUAUUACUUUUAAUUAGUAUCAAUUGGCUUGUUGCUGUAAAAACAAAUAUUUCUUAUCAACAGUAUUUUGAAGUUAAUUCGUCUUGAAAAAUUGUAGAUUUUCUCACACACACAGCAACAAAAACCCACAAGCAGGCGCUAUAUGAGCUACGCUUUUAAUACUAGUAGUAAAGUAGCUUUAGAUAGCAUGAGAUGAGUAUCUAUCAAUGAUUUACACUUUGGAUCCGGGUUACAUCAGCAAUGACCUCAACAGUAGUAAUAUACAGCUGAGCUGCAGUGUAUGUGUCUCCCCCAUGGUGAAGAAGACAAAAAUAACCUAAUAAAGUAUAUGUUUUUUUGUUGGUGUUAAAAGUAUAGGUAAACAUGCGUAUACUGUAUACAUGUUGCGAACUAUAUAUAUGUCGUACACUGGGUACUUAUGUCACAUGCAAAUUACAAUAAAUAAUUAUGUCAAUAUAUAGAUUGGUGGGUUGCAUUAUCACUGACCUCGGCCUCUGUUCCACACAUCUUGGUCGCCACGGAACCUUUACCUUUUUUGUAUUCUAGUCCAAGAAAUCGCCCCACCAAAGACGUAGUCAUAUCAAAGUCUUCUUAAUCCGAUAUUAUGGCUAUAUAAACACACCCACAUGUUAGACUGAGUAAACAAGAGCACAAUAAUAAAAAAGAUAAAAGAAAAAAAAUGAGAGAAGGAUCUCAUGUUAUCGUCCUGCCUUUCCCUGGACAAGGCCACAUAACUCCAUUGUCCCAGUUCUGCAAGCGCUUAGCCUCAAAGGGUCUUAAGCCCACUCUUAUCCUCGUCUCCGACAAACCCACUCCGCCUUACAAAAUAGAUAACGAUUCAAUCACUGUCUUCCCCAUCUCCAACGGCUUCCAAGAAGGCGAAGACCCGUUACAAGACCUAGAUGAUUACAUGGAAAGAGUAGAAACCAGCAUCAAGAAACGCUUACCGGAGUUGAUACAAGACAUGAAGCUGUCCGGAAACAUUCCUAAGGCUCUUGUGUACGACUCCACCAUGCCGUGGCUUCUUGAUGUAGCUCAUGAUCAUGGUUUGAGAGGUGCCUCGUUCUUCACGCAACCUUGGCUUGUCUCGGCUAUUUACUACCAUGUUUUCAAAGGCUCCUUCACUGUACCGUCUACGAAGUAUGGUCACUCGACGUUAGCAUCUUUCCCUUCGUUUCCUAUGCUGAAUGCGAAUGAUUUGCCUUCUUUCCUCUGCGAGUCGUCCUCUUACCCUAAUAUACUACGGGUUGUGGUUGAUCAGCUCUCAAACAUUGAUCGUGUCGACAUAGUGUUGUGCAACACUUUCGAUAAAUUGGAAGAAAAGGUAACGAAUAUUUAUCCACAUAGGAACAUGUCUAUGUCUGAUGAGGAAAAAUAUCCAAAUUAAAGCAUAUAUUUCAAAAUUAUUUUAUCAACUGUUAUCCAACAAAAUUUGUUAGAGCAUAUCAUUGGUUGGGUUUUCAAUAAAACUUCCUUUUUGACAAUCUCAAAUUAACACAUGUUUUAAUGUUGGAGAAACUCUUAUCACACAUAUUACUAUCAUAUUAUUUAAAUUAAUUGAUGUUCUUAAAUUUAAUAAAAAGAAAUUUCUCUAGCCUUGUUUUUUUUAUCUUAUUCAUUUAUGUGAUUUUAUCAUUAAUUUUUUUUUCUUAGUUGUUGAAAUGGGUCAAAAGCAUGUGGCCAGUCUUGAACGUAGGACCAACG
rnacentral:lncRNA from 1 species